rnacentral:lncRNA from 1 species
AUAACACUAAAAUCCACAUAUUUAAAAGUCUUAUAACUUUUUAUUUUUGUCCUCACUGGCCUCCAAGUUUUCUAGGAUGAUGCAAUGUCCAGCCAUCAACACAUUUGUGAAGGAAUUUUUACUCCCCAAAAGAGCGCCCCCCCAUGGCAGGAGAAAAAAAGUCCAUUUUUUCUUGUCCCCUAAGGUGAAAAUACACAUUGUUGAGUGUCACGCCUAUACGCUUUGUCAAAAUGACACAAAAAUUGACACACACAUGUAACUCAAUAAGAUCUACGAAAAAGUCAAUGCGCGCGUAUCUGUCAAAUGUACGGUUAAAGGGUUAUUCCGCAUUUUUUGCCGAUCCGCACACAUUGGAAUGUGGCUAACUCCUCCUAAGGCUUUCGUUCCACCGGCACCACAUUUGCUCAGGACAAUCUACACCCCAUGGCCAUUAAAAGUUAUUCAAAUCAUGACGCUGCACCCCACGGUUUAGGUUCUAGGGGGCGCCAAAGAUAACCCUAAAAUCCACAUAUUUAAAAGUCUUAUAACUUUUUAUUUUUGUCCUCACUGGCCUCCAAGUUUUCUAGGUUGAUGCAAUGUCCAGCCAUCAACACAUUUGUGAAGGAAUUUUUACUCCCCAAAAGAGCGCCCCCCCAUGGCAGGAGAAAAAAGUCAAUUUUUGUCUUGUCCCUUAAGGUGAAAAUACAUAUUGUUGAGAUUCACGCCUAUAUGCUUUGUCAUAUUGACACAAAAUUUGACAAUCACGUGCCUUGCCUGGUAUCAUUUUUUUCAGCACAACCUCACCUGUGCGAAUUUACAGUUAUUUUAUCAUGUUGACAUACUGAAUUUACACAAUGGACCCAAAUUCACACACAAAACAUAAAAUCCGAGUGGAAAAAAGUAACAUUUUUACUGUGAAAACCACAAAUAUGUGUGAUGAACUGUUUUUAAAACUUAAACUUCAAAUAAAAAUUGUAAACUUCAAAACAUAUGCAAAUUUUUAACAAAGAACAUAGUGAUUUACCUCUAUUUACAUCAAAAUGCAGGCAAUGGCCCAGGCGUUCUUUGUAAAAUUAUUUACAAAACACUGUAUAGUCUCACAAAUGUCACUUUUUAUUUAUGCCACUACAAAAAAACAUGAUGUAAAUGAUGCAUGAUGUAAAACAUGAUGUAAAAAACUUGUGUAGAUCCUCCUCUAUGUCAGUCCAUGUGUAAUUUUUCCAUAAUUCUUUGUUUUUUGCAGCAUUUUUGUUAGUGUAACUGCAGAUUGUGCUGACAGUGUCUAUGGCACAAAAAAAAAAUAAAUAAAAUGCCUCAACAUGAACCCCUGGUGGUCUCUGAGGGUGAAACCUGCUAACUGCUGCAGCUCUGUCAGCUUCAGUCUCCCAUGCAGAGCUCUGAGCGCAUGUGUGGCUCUGCACCCUUAGCAGCGUUGCUAACUCCUCAGUAAGGAAAGCCUGCUUCAUGUCAGAGUCUCUAAACUCCAGAAGAAGUCGAUAAAAGUCUCUUUCUUUCAAAAAAAAGUCGUUAGGGGGUCUGAAAAGUCAUUGAAUCUAACAACAAAGUCGCUAGGUUUGCAACUACGUGUCCCAGACUGCAUCCCUGCUGAGAGUCCCUCCCUCCCUUCUCAUGUUGCAGGAAGAACGUAAGCGCCCGCCCCUUGUCAAUCAGUCACCAUAUAAUUUUGGAUUGGUUGUUGUGGUGAAGUUUUCCACCAAUAGGAGAGAUGUUGUGGUGUGUUUUUUUUUUCUUUUGGCAAGCCUUUUCCGCCUGUAAGACCUGUCGCUAAUGUCUGCAUGCUAUGUUUUCCUGUCUCAUACAGCGCGAUCGAGCGCCGAACGUGAUCAAAAUAAGCAGAAAAAAAGUAUCGCGGACAUAAUUUAUCAUAACUCUGGUUUUAUUUGGCCUAUCAACACAAUUUAAAAACUGGUAUAUAGGUUGAGGUCCUCACUUUUGAGAUAAGUUGAAACGGAGAGUCAACGAGGCUCCGUCUUGCAGCUACAUCCGGUUAAAUAUGUCAUGUGACUUGAACGCACACACAGACACACACACACGCACACACACACACACACACACACACACACACACACACACACACACACACACACACACACACUCAGAGUCUGGUUUUUAGCACCUGCAAAAACAUGCUAUUUACAUAUUUGACAAGAAUGCAGAGGCUCCUUUUGCCCCUGAAAAAAAUCAAAUUUCAAACACAACUUGAUUGGUCAUUUCUCCAAAAGACAACCAUGAAGCUCCAUCCAAACCUGAAGCAGGCAGUUGGUGCAUGUGUACAGUAACCUGAGGGGAGUGAGGUGAGUGCUUCUGAGGAGAACAUGAGCAGUGAAGAUUCACCUUGGAGCUAGAACAGAGACAUGCACAUGAUUAUACAGGGGCAGGGGCUCAAGUUUUUUCCAGUCGUUUAUACAAUAUGGAAAUUAAUGUGAAAUUAAAACACAAAGUAUUAAUAGAAAGGUAAUGACUGUCCUGUGUAGGUGACAGUGAUAUCCAAUAGGCUAGGCACUCACGAGGCUGGCUGUGGCAAGUGUAAGUGAAAGCAACACGCACUGGCAGGAAGAACAGCAAACGCCGAUGAAGGAAAAGGGUCUUUGCAGUGAUGGGCGUUACCAGAGAGGGCGAUGGCCAGAGGACACAAAUGGGACGGGGAGGCAGCACGUUGGGGGGGGGGGACGCGACACGGCUCGGGCCCGCCAGUGCCCCAACGGGGUCCUAGUUAGGGCCCGAGCCAGCUGCAGAGCAGCCGGGCGUAGGCCCUAUUAUUCCCCAAGUGGUUUUUCUUUGUUUCUUUCUUUCUUUCUUUAGGGCCCGAGCGUAGCUGCUAAGCAGCUGCGAGAGCCCUCUUGUUCCUGCAUGUUUCCUUCUUUCGUUAUUAUUUUUCCUCCGCUUUAAACUGGAAAAUGGCCCACUUCCCACUGGCGAAAACUCAGGAAAUUUGGCAGGACGACCGGGCCUGGUGAAAAAUUCGAUAUUCUGAAGUCGCCCAAACAAUAAAAUGCAAAAUGGCUCCAUAGCGCCCCCUAAGGUGAAAAUUCACAUGACGGCUGUACGCUUUGUCAUAUUGACACAAAAAUUGACACACACAUGUAUCUCAAUAAGAUCUACAAAAAAGUCAGUGCGGGCGUAUCUGUCAAAUGUACGGUUAAUGGGUUAUUUUGCAUUUUUUGCAGAUCUGCACACAUUGGAAUUUCGCUAACUCCUCCGAAGGCUUUCGUUCGACCGGCACCACAUUUGCGCAGGCCAAUCUACCCCCCAUGGCCAUUAAAAGUUGUACAAAUCAUGACGCUGCACCCCACGGUUUACGUUCUAGGGGGCGCCAAAGAUAACCCAAAAUCCACAUUCUUAAAAGUCUUAUAACUUUUUAUUUUUGUCCUCACUGCCCUCCAAGUUUUCUAGGAUGAUGCAAUGUCCAGCCAUCAACACAUUUGUGAAGGAAUUUUUACUCCCCAAAAGAGCGCCCCCCCAUGGAAGGAGAAAAAAGUCAAUUUUUUCUUGUCCCCUUACAUGAAAAUACACAUUGUUGAGUGUCACGCCUGAACGCUUUGUCAUAUUGACACAAAAAUUGACAAUCAUGUGUAUCUCAAUUAGAUCUACGAAAAAGUCAAAAGGCGCGUAUCUGUAUAAUGUACGGUUAAAGGGCUAUUUCGCAUUUUUUGCCGAUUCGCACACAUUGGAAUGUGGCUAUCUCCUCCUAAGGCUUUCGUCCCACCGAUACCAAAUUUGCUCAGGGCAAUCUACACCCCAUGCCCAUUCAAAGUUGUAAAAAUCAUGACGCUGCACCCCACGGUUUACGUUCUAGGGUGCGCCAAAGAUGACCAAAAAAUCCACAUUCUUAAAAGUCAUUUUGGCCACUGCAGGAGUACAGAGUACUGCAGUUCUAGGGGGCGCCAAAGAUGACCCAAAAAUCCACAUUCUUAAAAGUCUUUUUGGCCACUGCAGGAGUACAGAGUACUGCAGGAUACACACACAUAUACACACACACACACACACACACACACACACACACACACACACACACACACACACUCAGAGUCUGUUUUUUAGCACCUGCAAAAACAUGCUGUUUACAUAUUUGACAAGAAUGCAGAGGCUUCCUUUUGCCGCUGAAAAAAAUCAUAUUUCAAACACAACUUGACUGUUCAUUUCUCCAAAAGACAACCAUGAAGCUCCAUCCAAACCUGAAGCAGGCAGUUGGUGCAUGUGUACAGUAACCUGAGGGGAGUGAGGUGACUAUUUCUGAGGAGAACAUGAGCAGUGAAGAUUCACCUUGGAGCUAGAACAGGGACGUGCACAUGAUUAUACAGGGGCAGGGGCUCAAGUUUUUUCCAGUCAUUUAUACAAUAUGGAAAUUAAUGUGAAAUUAAACCACAAAUAUGUGUGAUGAACUGUUUUUAAAACUUAAACUUCAAAUAAAAAUUGUAAACUUCAAAACAUAUGCAAAUUUUUAACAAAGAACAUAGUAAUUUACCUCUAUUUACAUCAAAAUGCAGGCAAUGGCCCAGGCGUUCUUUGUAAAAUUAUUUACAAAACACUGUAUAGUCUCACAAAUGUCACUUUUUAUUUAUGCCACUACAAAAAAUGAUGAAUGAUGUAAAUGAUGCAUGAUGUAAAACAUGAUGUAAAAAACUUGUGUAGAUCCUCCUCUAUGUCAGUCCAUGUGUAAUUUUUCCAUAAUUCUUUGUUUUUUGCAGCAUUUUUGUUAGUGUAACUGCAGAUUGUGCUGACAGUCUAUGGCAAAAAAAACAAAAACUGAAAAUGCCUCAACAUGAACCCCUGGUGGUCUCUGAGGGUGAAACCUGCUAACUGCUGCAGCUCUGUCAGCUUCAGUCUCCCAUGCAGAGCUCGGAGCGCAUGUGUGGCUCUGCACCCUUAGCAGCGUUGCUAACUCCUCAGUAAGGAAAGCCUGCUUCAUGUCAGAGUCUCUAAACUCCAGAAGAAGUCGAUAAAAGUCCCUUUCUUUCUAAAAAAGUCGUUAGGGGGUCUGAAAAGUAAUUGAAUCUAACAACAAAGUCGCUAGGUUUGCAACUACGUGUCCCAGACUGCAUCCCUGCUGAGAGUCCCUCCCUCCCUUCUCAUAUUGCAGGAAGAACGUAAGCGCCCGCCCCUUGUCAAUCAGUCACCAUAUAAUUUUGGAUUGGUUGUUGUGGUGAAGUUUUCCACCAAUAGGAGAGAUGUUGUGGUGUGUUUUUUUUUCUUUUGGCAAGCCUUUUCCGCCUGUAAGACCUGUCGCUAAUGUGUGCAUGCUAUGUUUUCCUGUCUCAUACAGCGCGAUCGAGCGCCGAACGUGAUAAAAAUAAGCAGAAAAAAAGUAUCGCGGACAUAAUUUAUCAUAACUCUGGUUUUAUUUGGCCUAUCAACACAAUUUAAAAACUGGUAUAUAGUUUGAGGUCCUCACUUUUGAGAUAAGUUGAAACGGAGAGUUAACGAGGCUCCGUCUUGCAGCUACAUCCGGUUAAAUAUGUCAUGUGACUUGAACGUGGGGAGCGUCAAUCGAAUCGAAUCAAACCUAACUCUCAGAUGAAUCUUCAAAAUUCCCCUCAGAAAUAUGCUUAUUAUUCUUCUCAGAGUACUGCAGGAUACACACACACACACACACACACACACACACACACACACACACACACACACACACACACUCAGAGUCUGUUUUUUAGCACCUGCAAAAACAUGCUAUUUACAUAUUUGACAAGAAUGCAGAGGCUUCCUUUUGCCCCUGAAAAAAAUCAAAUUUCAAACACAACUUGACUGCUCAUUUCUCCAAAAGACAACCAUGAAGCUCCAUCCAAACCUGAAGCAGGCAGUUGGUGCAUGUGUACAGUAACCUGAGGGGAGUGAGGUGACUGCUUCUGAGGAGAACAUGAGCAGUGAAGAUUCACCUUGGAGCUAGAACAGGGACGUGCACAUGAUAAUACAGGGGCAGGGGCUCAAGUUUUUUCCAGUCGUUUAUACAAUAUGGAAAUUAAUGUGAAAUUAAAAAACAAAGUAUGACUGUCCUGUGUAGGUGACAGUGAUAUCCAAUAGGCUAGGCACUCACGAGGCUGGCUGUGGCAAGUGUAAGUGAAAGCAACACGCACUGGCAGGAAGAACAGCAAACGCCGAUGAAGGAAAAGGGUCUUUGCAGUGAUGGGCGUUACCAGAGAGGGCGAUGGCCAGAGGACAUGAAUGUGACGGGGAGGCAGCGCGUUGGGGGGGGGGGGGUGCGACACGGCUCGGGCCCGCCAGUGCCCCAACGGGGCCCUAGUCUUCUUCUUCUUAUUAGGGCCCGAGCCAGCUGCAGAGCAGCCGGGCGUAGGCCCUGUUAUUCCUGUAGGGGUUUUUCUUUGUUUCUUUCUUUCUUCUUUUUCCUCCCCUUUGAACUGGAAAAUGGCCCACUUCCCACUGGCGAAAACUCAGGAAAUUUGGCAGGACGACCGGGCCUGGUGAAAAAUUUGAUAUUCCGAAGUCGCCCAAACAAGAAAAUGCAAAAUGGCUCCAUAGCGCCCCCUAAGGUGAAAAUUCACACUAUUGACUGUCACGCCUGUACGCUUUGUCAAAAUGACACAAAAAUUGACACACACAUGUAUCUCAAUAAGAUCUACAAAAAAGUCAGUGCGGGCGUAUCUGUCAAAUGUACGGUUAAAGGGUUAUUGCGCAUUUUUUGCCGAUCCGCACACAUUGGAAUUUCGCUAACUCCUCCGAAGGCUUUCGUUCCACCGGCACCACAUUUGCUCAGGCCAAUCUACACCCCAUGGCCAUUAAAAGUUAUUCAAAUCAUGACGCUGCACCCCACGGUUUAGGUUCUAGGGGGCGCCAAAGAUAACCUUAAAAUCCACAUUUUUAAAAGUCUUAUAACUUUUUAUUUUUGCCCUCACUGGCCUCCAAGUUUUCUAGGAUGAUGCAAUGUCCAGCCAUCAACACAUUUGUGAAGGAAUUUUUACUCCCCAAAAGAGCGCCCCCCCAUGGCAGGAGAAAAAAGUCCAUUUUUUUCUUGUCCCCUAAGGUGAAAAUACACAUUGUUGAGUGUCACGCCUGUACGCUUUGUCAAAAUGACACAAAAAUUGACACACACAUGUAUCUCAAUAAGAUCUACAAAAAAGUCCAUGCGCGCGUAUCUGUCUAAUGUACGGUUAAAGGGUUAUUCCGCAUUUUUUGCCGAUUCGCACACAUUGGAAUUUCGCUAACUACUCCGAAGGCUUUCGUUCCACCGGCACCACAUUUGCUCAGGCCAAAUUACACCCCAUGGCCAUUAAAAGUUAUUCAAAUCAUGACGCUGCACCCCACGGUUUAGGUUCUAGGGGGCGCCAAAGAUAACCCAAAAAUCCACAUUUUUAAAAGUCUUAUAACUUUUUAUUUUUGUCCUCACUGGCCUCCAAGUUUUCUAGGAUGAUGCAAUGUCCAGCCAUCAACACAUUUGUGAAGGAAUUUUUACUCCCCAAAAGAGCGCCCCCCCAUGGCAGGAGAAAAAAGUCCAUUUUUUCUUGUCCCCUAAGGUGAAAAUACACAUUGUUGACUGUCACGCCUGUACGCUUUGGCAAAAUGACACAAAAAUUGACAAUCAUGUGUAUCUCAAUUAGAUCUACGAAAAAGUCAAGAAGCGCGUAUCUGUAUAAUGUACGGUAAAAAGGCUAUUUUGCAUUUUUUGCCGAUUCGCACACAUUGGAAUUUCGCUAACUCCUCCUAAGGCUUUCGUCCCACUGACACCAAAUUUGCUCAGGCCAAUCUACACUCCAUGGCCAUUCAAAGUUGUAAAAAUCAUGACGCUGCACCCCACGGUUUACGUUUUAGGGGGCGCCAAAGAUGACCCAAAUAUACAUUACAGUAGACAAAGUAGUUUUGCCCACUGAGUGGCGCCAAAGGGACUUGUCUGUGGAGUCUGUGAGUCACUAUUGGCCGUUUUUGACUACUUUAGAUUUUACCUUUAUAUUUCCUCUUACAAAAUUUUUACCUUGCCUUGCCUGGUAUCAUUUUUUUCAGCACAACCUCACCUGUGUCAAUUUACAGUUAUUUUAUCAUUUUGACAUACUAUAUUUACACAUUGGACCCAAAUUCACACACAAAACAUAAAAUCCGAGUGGAAAAAAGUAACGUUUUUACUGUGAAAACCACAAAUAUGUGUGAUGAACUGUUUUUAAAACUUAAACUUCAAAUAAAAAUUGUAAACUUCAAAACAUAUGCAAAUUUUUAACAAAGAACAUAGUAAUUUACCUCUAUUGACAUCAAAAUGCAAGCAAUGGCCCAGGUGUUCUUUGUAAAAUUAUUUACAAAACACUGUAUAGUCUCACAAAUGUCACUUUUUAUUUAUGCCACUACAAAAAAACAUGAUGUAAAUGAUGCAUGAUGUAAAACAUGAUGUAAAAAACUUGUGUAGAUCCUCCUCUAUGUUAGUCCAUGUGUAAUUUUUCCAUAAUUCUUUGUUUUUUGCAGCAUUUUUGUUAGUGUAACUGCAGAUUGUGCUGACAGUGUCUAUGGCAAAAAAAAAAAAAAAAAACUGAAAAUGCCUCAACAUGAACCCCUGGUGGUCUCUGAGGGUGAAACCUGCUAACUGCUGCAGCUCUGUCAGUUUCAGUCUCCCAUGCAGAGCUCUGAGCGCAUGUGUGGCUCUGCACCCUUAGCAGCGUUGCUAACUCCUCAGUAAGGAAAGCCUGCUUCAUGUCAGAGUCUCUAAACUCCAGAAGAAGUCGAUAAAAGUCACUUUCUUUCUAAAAAAAAGUCGUUAGGGGGUCUGAAAAGUCAUUGAAUCUAACAACAAAGUCGCUAGGUUUGCAACUACGUGUCCCAGACUGCAUCCCUGCUGAGAGUCCCUCCCUCCCUUCUCAUAUUGCAGGAAGAACGUAAGUUCCCGCCCCUUGUCAAUCAGUCACCAUAUAAUUUUGGAUUGGUUGUUGUGGUGAAGUUUUCCACCAAUAGGAGAGAUGUUGUGGUGUGUUUUUUUUUUCCUUUGGCAAGCCUUUUCCGCCUGUAAGACCUGUCGCUAAUGUCUGCAUGCUAUGUUUUCCUGUCUCAUACAGCGCGAUCGAGCGCCGAACGUGAUCAAAAUAAGCAGAAAACAAGUAUCGUGGACAUAAUUUAUCAUAACUCUGGUUUUAUUUGGCCUAUCAACACAAUUUAAAAACUGGUAUAUAGGUUGAGGUCCUCACUUUUGAGAUAAAUUGAAACGGAGAGUCAACGAGGCUCCGUCUUGCAGCUACAUCCGGUUAAAUAUGUCAUGUGACUUGAACGCACACACACACACACACACACACACACACACACACACACACACACACACACACACACACACACAGACAGACACACACACACACGCACACACACACACUCAGAGUCUGGUUUUUAGCACCUGCAAAAACAUGCUAUUUACAUAUUUGACAAGAAUGCAGAGGCUCCUUUUGCCCCUGAAAAAAAUCAAAUUUCAAACACAACUUGACUGGUCAUUUCUCCAAAAGACAACCAUGAAGCUCCAUCCAAACCUGAAGCAGGCAGUUGGUGCAUGUGUACAGUAACCUGAGGGGAGUGAGGUGACUGCUUCUGAGGAGAACAUGAGCAGUGAAGAUUCACCUUAGAGCUAGAACAGAGACGUGCACAUGAUUAUACAGGGGCAGGGGCUCAAGUUUUUUCCAGUUGUUUAUACAAUAUGGAAAUUAAUGUGAAAUUAAAAAACAAAGUAUUAAUAGAAAGGUAAUGACUGUCCUGUGUAGGUGACAGUGAUAUCCAAUAGGCUAGGCACUCACGAGGCUGGCUGUGGCAAGUGUAAGUGAAAGCAACACGCACUGGCAGGAAGAACAGCAAACGCCGAUGAAGGAAAAGGGUCUUUGCAGUGAUGGGCGUUACCAGAGAGGGCGAUGGCCAGAGGACACAAAUGGGACGGGGAGGCAGCGCGUUGGGGGGGGGGGCGCGACACAGCUCGGGCCCGCCAGUGCCCCAACGGGGUCCUAGUUAGGGCCCGAGCGUAGCUGCUAAGCAGCUGCGAGAGCCCUCUUGUUCCUGUAGUUUCCUUCUUUUGUUAUUAUUAUUUUUCCUCCCCUUUGAACUGGAAAAUGGCCCACUUCCCACUGGCGAAAAAUCAUGAAAUUUGGCAGGACGACCGGGCCUGGUGAAAAAUUUGAUAUUCCGAAGUCGCCCAAACAAGAAAAUGCAAAAUGGCUCCAUAGCGCCCCCUAAGGUGAAAAUUCACACUAUUGAGUGUCACGCCUGUACGCUUUGUCAAAAUGACACAAAAAUUGACACACACAUGUAUCUCAAUAAGAUCUACAAAAAAGUCAGUGCGGGCGUAUCUGUCAAAUGUACGGUUAAAGGGUUAUUUCGCAUUUUUUGCCGAUCCGCACACAUUGGAAUUUCGCUAACUCCUCCGAAGGCUUUCGUUCCACCGGCACCACAUUUGCUCAGGCCAAUCUACACCCCAUGGCCAUUAAAAGUUAUUCAAAUCAUGACGCUGCACCCCACGGUUUAGGUUCUAGGGGGCGCCAAAGAUAACCCUAAGAUCCACAUAUUUAAAAGUCUUAUAACUUUUUAUUUUUGCCCUCACUGGCCUCCAAGUUUUCUAGGAUGAUGCAAUGUCCAGCCAUCAACACAUUUGUGAAGGAAUUUUUACUCCCCAAAAGAGCGCCCCCCCAUGGCAGGAGAAAAAAGUCCAUUUUUUCUUGUCCCCUAAGGUGAAAAUACACAUUGUUGAGUGUAACACCUGUACGCUUUGGCAAAAUGACACAAAAAUUGACACACACAUGUAUCUCAAUAAGAUCUACGAAAAAGUCAAUGCGCGCGUAUCUGUCAAAUGUACGGUUAAAGGGUUAUUCCGCAUUUUUUGCCGAUCCGCACACAUUGGAAUUUCGCUAACUCCUCCGAAGGCUUUCAUUCCACCGGUACCACAUUUGCUCAGGCCAAUCUACACCCCAUGGCCAUUAAAAGUUAUUCAAAUCAUGACGCUGCAUCCCACGGUUUAGGUUCUAGGGGGCGCCAAAGAUAACCCUAAAAUCCACAUAUUUAAAAGUCUUAUAACUUUUUAUUUUUGUCCUCACUGGCCUCCAAGUUUUCUAGGAUGAUGCAAUGUCCAGCCAUCAACACAUUUGUGAAGGAAUUUUUACUGCCCAAAAGAGCGCCCCCCCAUGGCAGGAAAAAAAAGCCAAUUUUUUCUUGUCCCCUAAGGUGGAAAUUCACACUAUUGACUGUCACGCCUGUACGCUUUAUCAUAUUGACACAAAAAUUGACACACAUAUGUAUCUCAAUAAGAUCUACAAAAGAGUCGAUUCGCGCGUAUCUGUCAAAUGUACGGUUAAAGGGCUAUUUUGCAUUUUUUGCCGAUUCGCACACAUUGGAAUGUGGCUAACUCCUCCUAAGGCUUUCGUCCCACUGACACCAAAUUUACUCAGGCCAAUCUACACCCCAUGGCCAUUCAAAGUUGUAAAAAUCAUGACGCUGCACCCCACGGUUUACGUUCUAGGGGUCGCCAAAGAUAACCCAAAAAUCCACAUUCUUCAAAGAAUCCACAUCCCCCCCCCCCCCCCCAUAUGGCAGGAGAAAAAGUUAAGUUUUUCCUGCCCAUCGCUCAAUGGCUCAAUCGCAUCUCUCUCCAGGCAACACCGUAAGGAGGAGCAACCUGCCAUUUCGAUAUAUCAUAGCUGUGUUUGUGCCCUCACUCAUGGUCCAGACUUUUUUCAAAUAGGACAUGAAGUUUGUCUGCAGCGAGUGUUUUGGUAGAAACUGCGCCUCCCAUUCAUUAUAAUAGGAAAUGACCACAGACAAGUGCGCACACAAUCUUUGGAUCUUGAGUGUGACGCGAUCGGGAGGGGGAGGCGGUCGCACUGGGGGCGGCGCGACACGGCUCGGGCCCGACAGUGCCCCAACGGGGUCCUAGUUAGGGCCCGAGCGUAGCUGCUAAGCAGCUGCGAGAGCCCUCUUGUUCCUGCAUGUUUCCUUCUUUCGUUAUUAUUUUUCCUCCGCUUUAAACUGGAAAAUGGCCCACUUCCCACUGGCGAAAACUCAGGAAAUUUGGCAGGACGACCGGGCCUGGUGAAAAAUUCGAUAUUCUGAAGUCGCCCAAACAAUAAAAUGCAAAAUGGCUCCAUAGCGCCCCCUAAGGUGAAAAUUCACAUGACGGCUGUAAGCUUUGUCAUAUUGACACAAAAAUUGACACACACAUGUAUCUCAAUAAGAUCUACAAAAAAGUCAGUGCGGGCGUAUCUGUCAAAUGUACUGUUAAUGGGUUAUUUUGCAUUUUUUGCAGAUCUGCACACAUUGGAAUUUCGCUAACUCCUCCGAAGGCUUUCGUUCGACCGGCACCACAUUUGCGCAGGCCAAUCUACCCCCCAUGGCCAUUAAAAGUUGUACAAAUCAUGACGCUGCACCCCACGGUUUACGUUCUAGGGGGCGCCAAAGAUAACCCAAAAAUCCACAUUCUUAAAAGUUUUAUAACUUUUUACUUUUGUCCUCACUGGCCUCCAAGUUUUCUAGGAUGAUGCAAUGUCCAGCCAUCAACACAUUUGUGAAGGAAUUUUUACUCCCCAAAAGAGCGCCCCCCAAUGGCAGGAGAAAAAGGUCCAUUUUUUCUUGUCUCCUAAGGUGAAAAUACACAUUGUCGAGUGUCACGCCUGUAUGCUUUGUCAUAUUGACAAAAAAUUUGACAAUCACGUGUAUCUCAAUAAGAUCUACGAAAAAGUCAAAGGGCAUGUAUCUGUCAAAUGUACGGUUAAAGGGCUAUUUUGCAUUUUUUGCCGAUCCGCACACAUUGGAAUUUCGGUAACUCCUCCGAAGGCUAUCUUUCCACCGGCACCAAAUUUGCUCAGGCCAAUCUACACCCCAUGGCCAUUCAAAGUUGUACAAAUCAUCUUGCUGCACCCCACGGUUUGGGUUCUAGGGGGCACCAAAUAUAACCCAAAAAUCCACAUUCUUAAAAGUCUUAUAACUUUUUAUUUUUUUCCAUACUGGCCUCCAAGUUUUUUAGGAUGAUGCAAUGUCCAGCCAUCAACACAUUUGUGAAGAAAUUUUUACUCCCCAAAAGAGCGCCCCCCCCCCCAUGGCAGGAGAAAAAAGUCCAUUUUUUCUUGUCCCCUAAGGUGAAAAUACACAUUGUUGAGUGUAACACCUGUACGCUUUGGCAAAAUGACACAAAAAUUGACACACACAUGUAUCUCAAUAAGAUCUACGAAAAAGUCAAUGCGCGCGUAUCUGUCAAAUGUACGGUUAAAGGGUUAUUCCGCAUUUUUUGCCGAUCCGCACACAUUGGAAUUUCGCUAACUCCUCCGAAGGCUUUCGUUCCACCGGCACCACAUUUGCUCAGGCCAAUCUACACCCCAUGGCCAUUAAAAGUUAUUCAAAUCAUGACGCUGCACCCCACGGUUUAGGUUCUAGGGGGCGCCAAAGAUAACCGUAAAAUCCACAUAUUUAAAAGUCUUAUAACUUUUUAUUUUUGUCCUCACUGGCCUCCAAGUUUUCUAGGAUGAUGCAAUGUCCAGCCAUCAACACAUUUGUGAAGGAAUUUUUACUCCCCAAAAGAGCGCCCCCCCAUGGCAGGAGAAAAAAGUAAAUUUUUUCUUGUCCCCUAAGGUGGAAAUUCACACUAUUGACUGUCACGCCUGUACGCUUUAUCAUAUUGACACAAAAAUUGACACACAUAUGUAUCUCAAUAAGAUCUACAAAAAAGUCAAUGCGCGCGUAUCUGUCAAAUGUACGGUUAAAGGGCUAUUUUGCAUUUUUUGCCGAUUCGCACACAUUGGAAUGUGGCUAACUCCUCCUAAGGCUUUCGUCCCACUGACACCAAAUUUGCUCAGGCCAAUCUACACCCCAUGGCCAUUCAAAGUUGUAAAAAUCAUGACGCUGCACCCAACGGUUUACGUUCUAGGGGGCGCCAAAGAUGACCCAAAAAUCCACAUUCUUAAAGGAAUCCACAUCCCCCCCCCACCCAAGGCAGGAGAAAAAGUCAAGUUAACCCUGCCCAUCGCUCAAUGGCUCAAUCGCAUCGCUCUCCAGGCAACACCGUAAGGAGGAGCAACCUGCCAUUUCGAUAUAUCAUAGCUGUGUUUGUGCCCUCACUCAUGGUCCAGACUUUUUUCAAAUAGGACAUGAAGUUUGUCUGCAGCGAGUGUUUUGGUAGAAACUGCGCCUCCCAUUCAUUAUAAUGGGAAAUGACCACAGACAAGUGCGCACACCAUCUUUGGACCUUGAGUGUGACGCGAUUGGGAGGGGGAGGCGGUCGCGCUGGGGGCGGCGCGACGCGGCUCGGGCCCGACAGUGCCCCAACGGGGUCCUAGUUAUUAUUUUUCCUCCGCUUUAAACUGGAAAAUGGCCCACUUCCCACUGGCGAAAACUCAGGAAAUUUGGCAGGACGACCGGGCCUGGUGAAAAAUUCGAUAUUCUGAAGUCGCCCAAACAAUAAAAUGCAAAAUGGCUCCAUAGCGCCCCCUAAGGUGAAAAUUCACACUAUUGACUGUCACGCCUGUACGCUUUGUCAUAUUGACACAAAAAUUGACACACACAUGUAUCUCAAUAAGAUCUACAAAAAAGUCAGUGCGGGCGUAUCUGUCAAAUGUACGGUUAAAGGGUUAUUUCGCAUUUUUUGCAGAUCCGCACACAUUGGAAUUUUGCUAACUCCUCCGAAGGCUUUCGUUCCACCGGCACCACAUUUGCUCAGGCCAAUCUAGGCCAAUCUACCAUGGCCAUUCAAAGUUGUACAAAUCAUGAUGCUGCACCCCAUGGUUUAGGUUCUAGGGGGCGCCAAAGAUAACCCAAAAAUCCACAGUCUUAAAAGUCUUAUAACUUUUUAUUUUUGUCCUCACUGGCCUCCAAGUUCUCUAGGAUGAUGCAAUGUCCAGCAAUUAACACAUUUGUGAAGGAAUUUUUACUCGCCAAAAAAGGCCCACUUCCCACUGGCGAAAACUCAUGAAAUUUGACAGGACGACCGGGCCUGGUGAAAAAUUCGAUAUUCUGAAGUCGCCCAAACAAUAAAAUGCAAAAUGGCUCCAUAGCACCCCCUAAGGUGAAAAUUCACACUAUUGACUGUCACGCCUGUACGCUUUGUCAUUUUGACACAAAAAUUGACACACACAUGUAUCACAAUAAGAUCUACAAAAAAGUCAGCGCGGGCGUGUCUGUAAAAUGUACGGUUAAAGGGCUAUUUCGCAUUUUUUGCCCAUUCGCACACAUUGGAAUGUGGCUAACUCCUCCUAAGGCUUUCGUUCCACUGACACCAAAUUUGCUCAGGCCAAUCUACACCCCAUGGCCAUUAAAAGUUGUAAAAAUCAUGACGCUGCACCCCACGGUUUACGUUCUAGGGGGCGCCAAAGAGGACCCAAAUAUCCACAUUUUUAAAAGUCUUAUAACUUUAUUUUUGUCCUCACUGGCCUCCAAGUUUUCUAGGAUGAUGCAAUGUUCAGUCAUCAACACAUUUGUGAAGGAAUUUUUUCUCCCCAUAAGAGCGCCCCCCCCAUGGCAGGAGAAAAAGUCAAGUUUUUCCUGCCCAUCGCUCAAUGGCUCAAACGCAUCGCUCUCUCGGCAAAACCGAAAGGAGGAGCAACUUGCCAUUUGGAUAUAUACUAGCUGUGUUUGUGCCCUCACUCCUGGUCCAGAAUCUUUUCAAAAAGGACAUGGAGUUUGUCUGCAGCGAGCGUUUUGGUAGAAACUGCACCUCCCAUUCAUUAUAAUGGUAAAUGACCACAGACAAGUGCGCACACCAUCUUUGGACCUUGAGUGUGACGCGAUCGGGAGGGGUAGGCGGUCGCGCUGGGGGCGGCGCGACACGGCUCGGGCCCGCCAGUGCCCCAACGGGGCCCUAGUUCUUCUUAUUUUUCCUCCCCUUUGAAGGGGAAAAUGGCCCACUUCCCACUGGCGAAAACUCAUGAAAUUUGACAGGACGACCGGGCCUGGUGAAAAAUUCGAUAUUCUGAAGUCGCCCAAACAAUAAAAUGCAAAAUGGCUCCAUAGCACCCCCUAAGGUGAAAAUUCACACUAUUGACUGUCACGCCUGUACGCUUUGUCAUUUUGACACAAAAAUUGACACACACAUGUAUCACAAUAAGAUCUACAAAAAAGUCAGCGCGGGCGUGUCUGUCAAAUGUACGGUUAAAGGGUUAUUUCGCAUUUUUUGCCGAUCCGCACACAUUGGAAUUUCGCUAACUCCUCCGAAGGCUUUCGUUCCACCGGCAGCACAUUUGCUCAGGCCAAUCUACACCCCAUGGCCAUUAAAAGUUAUUCAAAUCAUGACGCUGCACCCCACGGUUUACGUUCUAGGGGGCGCCAAAGAUAACCCAAAAAUCCACAGUCUUAAAAGUCUUAUAACUUUUUAUUUUUGUCCUCACUGGCCUCCAAGUUCUCUAGGAUGAUGCAAUGUCCAGCAAUUAACACAUUUGUGAAGGAAUUUUUACUCGCCAAAAGAGCGCCCCCCCAUGGCAGGAGAAAAAAAAGUCCAUUUUUUCUUGUCCCCAAAGGCGAAUAUACACAUUGUUGAGUGUCACGCCUGUACGCUUUGUCAUAUUGACACAAAAUUUGACAAUCAUGUGUAUCUCAAUAAGAUCUACGAAAAAGUCAAUGUGCGCGUAUCUGUAAAAUGUACAGUUAAAGGGCUAUUUCGCAUUUUUUGCCAGAUUCGCACACAUUGGAAUUUCGCUAACUCCUCCUAAGGCUUUCGUUCCACUGACACCAAAUUUGCUCAGGCCAAUCUACACCCCAUGGCAAUUCAAAGUUGUACAAAUCAUGACGCUGCAUCCCACGGUUUACGUUCUAGGGGGCGCCAAAAAUAACCCAAAAAUCCACAUUCUUAAAAGUUUUAUAACUUUUUAUUUUUGUCCUCACUGGCCUCCAAGUUUUCUAGGAUGAUGCAAUGUCCAGCCAUCAACACAUUUGUGAAGGAAUUUUUACUCCCCAAAAGAGCGCCCCCCCAUGGCAGGACAAAAAAGUCAAUUUUUUCUUGUCCCCUAAGGCGAAAAUACACAUUGUUGAAUGUCACGCCUGUACGCUUUGUCAUAUUGACAAAAAAUUUGACACACACGUGUAUCUCAAUAAGAUCUACGAAAAAGUGAAUGCGCGCGUAUCUGUAAAAUGUACGGCUAAACGGCUAUUUUUCAUUUUUUGCCGAUUCGCACACAUUGGAAUGUGGCUAACUCCUCCUAAGGCUUUCGUCCCACUGACACCAAAUUUGCUCAGGCCAAUCUACACCCCAUGGCCAUUCAAAGUUGUAAAAAUCAUGCCGCUGCACCCCACGGUCUACGUUCUAGGGGGCGCCAAAGAGGACCCAAAUAUCCACAUAUUUAAAAGUCUUAUAACUUUUUAUUUUUGUCCUCACUGGCCUCCAAGUUUUCUAGGAUGAUGCAAUGUCACGCCAUCAACACAUUUGUGAAGGAAUUUUUUCUCCCCAAAAGAGCGCCCUCCCAUGGCAGGAGAAAAAGUCAAGUUUUUCCUGCCCAUCGCUCAAUGGCUCAAACGGAUCGCUCUCUCGGCAAAACCGAAAGGAGGAGCAACUUGCCAUUUGGAUAUAUACUUGCUGUGUUUGUGCCCUCACUCAUGGUCCAGACUUUUUCCAAAAAGGACAUGGAGUUUGUCUGCAGCGAGCGUUUUGGUAGAAACUGCGCCUUUCAUUCAUUAUAAUGGUCAAUGACCACAGACAAGUGCGCACACCAUCUUUGGACCUUGAGUGUGACGCGAUCGGGAGGGGUAGGCGGUCGCGCUGGGGGCGGCGCGACACGGCUCGGGCCCGCCAGUGCCCCACCGGGGCCCUAGUUCUUUCUUUCUUUCUUUCUUUAGGGCCCGAGCGUAGCUGCUAAGCAGUUGCGAGAGCCCUCUUGUUCCUGAUGGAUUCUUCUUAGGGCCCGAGCGUAGCUGCUAAGCAGCUGCGAGAGCCCUAUUGUUCCUGAUGGAUUCUUCUUUCUUCUUUAGGGCCCGAGCGUAGCUGCUAAGCAGCUGCGAGAGCCCUCUUGUUCCUGAUGGAUUCUUCUUUUGUUAUUAUUAGGGCCCGAGCGUAGCUGCUAAGCAGCUGCGAGAGCCCUCUUGUUCCUGAUGGAUUCUUCUUUCGUUAUUUUUCCUCCGCUUUAAACUGGAAAAUGGCCCACUUCCCACUGGCGAAAACUCAGGAAAUUUGGCAGGACGACCGGGCCUGGUGAAAAAUUUGAUAUUCUGAAGUCGCCCAAACAAAAAAAUGAAAAAUGGCUCCAUAGCGCCCCCUAUGGUGAAAACUCACCUGACGCCUGUACCCUUUGUCAAAAUGACACAAAAUUUGACACACAUGUGUAUCUCAAUAAGAUCUACAAAAAAGUCAGUGCGGGCGUAUCUGUCAAAUGUACGGUUAAAGGGCUAUUUCGCAUUUUUUGCCGAUCCGCACACAUUGGAAUUUCGCUAACUCCUCCGAAGGCUUUCGUUCCACCGGCACCAAAUUUGCUCAGGCCAAUCUACACCCCAUGGCCAUUAAAAGUUGUACAAAUCAUGAUGCUGCACCCCACGGUUUACGUUCUAGGGGGCGCCAAAAAUAACCCAAAAAUCCACAUUCUUAAAAGUCUUAUAACUUUUUAUUUUUGUCCUCACUGGCCUCCAAGUUUUCUAGGAUGAUGCAAUGUCCAGCCAUCAACACAUUUGUGAAGGAAUUUUUACUCGCCAAAAGAGCGCCCCCCCAUGGCAGGAGAAAAAAGUCAAUUUUUUCUAGUCCCCUAAGGCGAAAAUACACAUUGUUGAAUGUCACGCCUGUACGCUUCGUCAUAUUGACACAAAAUUUGACAAUCACGUGUAUCUCAAUAAGAUCUACGAAAGAGUCAAUGCGCGCGUAUCAGUAAAAUGUACGGUUAAAGGGCUAUUUCGCAUUUUUUGCCGUUUCGCACACAUUGGAAUGUGGCUAACUCCUCCUAAGGCUUUCGUCCCACUGACACCAAAUUUGCUCAGGCCAAUCUAAACUCCAUGGCCAUUCAAAGUUGUAAAAAUCAUGACGCUGCACCCCACGGUUUACGUUCUAGGGGGCGCCAAAGAGGACCCAAAUAUCCACAUUUUUAAAAGAAUCCACAUCGCCCCCCCCCCCCCCCACCCCCAAGGCAGGAGAAAAAGUCAAGUUAACCCUGCCCAUCGGUCAAUGGCUCAAUCGCAUCGCUCUCCCAGCAACACCGUAAGGAGGAGCAACUUGCCAUUUGGAUAUAUCCUAGCUGUGUUUGUGCCAUCACUCAUGGUCCAGACUUUUUUCAAAUAGGACAUGUAGUUUGUCUGCAGCGACCGUUUUGGUAGAAACUGCGCCUCCCAUUCAUUAUAAUGGGAAAUGACCACAGACAAGUGCGCACACCAUCUUUGGACCUUGAGUGUGACGCGAUUGGGAGGGGGAGGCGGUCGCGCUGGGGGCGGCGCGACGUGGCUCGGGCCCGACAGUGCCCCACCGGGGCCCUAGUUAUUAUUUUUCCUCCGCUUUAAACUGGAAAAUGGCCCACUUCCCACUGGCGAAAACUCAGGAAAUUUGGCAGGACGACCGGGCCUGGUGAAAAAUUCGAUAUUCUGAAGUCGUCCAAACAAUAAAAUGCAAAAUGGCUCCAUAGCGCCCCCUAAGGUGAAAAUUCACACAAUUGACUGUCACGCCUGUACGCUUUGUCAUAUUGACACAAAAAUUGACACACACAUGUAUCUCAAUAAGAUCUACAAAAAAGUCAGUGCGGGCGUAUCUGUCAAAUGUACGGUUAAAGGGUUAUUUUGCAUUUUUUGCAGAUCCGCACACAUUGGAAUUUCGCUAACUCCUCCGAAGGCUUUCGUUCCACCGGCACCACAUUUGCUCAGGUCAAUCUACACCCCAUGGCCAUUAAAAGUUGUACAAAUCAUGAUGCUGCACCCCACGGUUUAGGUUCUAGGGGGCGCCAAAAAUAAUGCAAAAAUCCACAUUCUUAAAAGUUUUAUAAUUUUUUUUUUUUGUCCUCACUGGCCUCCAAGUUUUCUAGGAUGAUGCAAUGUCCAGCCAUCAACACAUUUGUGAAGGAAUUUUUACUCCCCAAAAGAGCGCCCCCCCAUGGCAGGACAAAAAAGUCCAUUUUUUCUUGUCCCCUAAGGUGAAAAUACACAUUGUUGAGUGUCACGCCUGUACCCUUUGUAGUAUUGACAAAAAAUUUGACACACACGUGUAUCUGAAUAAGAUCUACGAAAAAGUCAAUGGGCGCGUAUCUGUAAAAUGUACGGCUAAAGGGCUAUUUUGCAUUUUUUGCCGAUUCGCACACAUUGGAAUGUGGCUAACUCCUCCUAAGGCUUUCGUCCCACUGACAUCAAAUUUGCUCAGGCCAAUCUACACCCCAUGGCCAUUCAAAGUUGUAAAAAUCAUGCCGCUGCACCCCAUGGUUUACGUUCUAGGGGGCGCCAAAGAUGACCCAAAUAUCCACAUUCUUAAAAGUCGUUUUGGCCACUGCAGGAGUACAGAGUACUGCAGGAUACACACACACAGACACACACACACACAGACACACACACACACACACACACACACACACACACACACACACACACACACACACACACACACACUCAGAGUCUGUUUUUUAGCACCUGCAAAAACAUGCUAUUUACAUAUUUGACAACAAUGCAGAGGCUUCCUUUUGCCCCUGAAAAAAAUCAAAUUUCUAACACAACUUGACUGGUCAUUUCUCCAAAAGACAACCAUGAAGCUCCAUCCAAACCUGAAGCAGGCAGUUGGUGCAUGUGUACAGUAACCUGAGGGGAGUGAGGUGACUGCUUCUGAGGAGAACAUGAGCAGUGAAGAUUCACCUUGGAGCGAGAACAGGGACGUGCACAUGAUUAUACAGGGGCAGGGGCUCAAGUUUUUCCAGUCGUUUAUACAAUAUGGAAAUUAAUGUGAAAUUAAAAAACAAAGUAUUAAUAGAAAGGUAAUGACUGUCCUGUGUAGGUGACAGUGAUAUCCAAUAGGCUAGGCACUCACGAGGCUGGCUGUGGCAAGUGUAAGUGAAAGCAACACGCACUGGCAGGAAGAACAGCAAACGCCGAUGAAGGAAAAGGGUCUUUGCAGUGAUGGGCGUUACCAGAGAGGACGAUGGCCAGAGGACGCGAAUGGGACGGGGAGGCAGCGCGUUGCGGGGGGGGGGGGGGGGGGGGGGGGCGACACAGCUCGGGCCCGCCAGUGCCCCAACGGGGCCCUAGUCUUCUUAUUAGGGCCCGAGCGUAGCUGCUAAGCAGCUGCGAGAGCCCUAUUAUUCCCCAAGUGGUUUUUCUUUGUUUCUUUCUUUAGGGCCCGAGCCAGCUGCAGAGCAGCCGGGCGUAGGCCCUAUUAUUCCCCAAGAGGUUUUUCUUUGUUUCUUUCUUUCUUUUUUCUUUUUCCUCCCCUUUGAACUGGAAAAUGGCCCACUUCCCACUGGCGAAAACUCAUGAAAUUUGGCAGGACGACCGGGCCUGGUGAAAAAUUUGAUAUUCUGAAGUCGCCAAAACAAUAAAAUGCAAAAUGGCUCCAUAGCGCCCCCUAAGGUGAAAAUUCACACUAUUCACUGUCACGACUGUACGCUUUGUCAAAAUGACACAAAAAUUGACACACACAUGUAUCUCAAUAAGAUCUACAAAAAAGUCAGUGCGGCCGUAUCUGUCAAAAUUACGGUUAAAGGGUUAUUUCGCAUUUUUUGCCGAUCUGCACACAUUGGAAUUUCGCUAACUCCUCCGAAGGCUUUCGUUCCAGCGGCACCACAUUUGCUCAGGCCAAUCUACACCCCGUGGCCAUUAAAAGUUAUCAAAAUCAUGACGCUGCACCCCAAGGUUUAGGUUCUAGGGGGCGCCAAAGAUAACACUAAAAUCCACAUAUUUAAAAGUCUUAUAACUUUUUAUUUUUGUCCUCACUGGCCUCCAAGUUUUCUAGGAUGAUGCAAUGUCCAGCCAUCAACACAUUUGUGAAGGAAUUUUUACUCCCCAAAAGAGCGCCCCCCCAUGGCAGGAGAAAAAAGUCCAUUUUUUCUUGUCCCCUAAGGUGAAAAUACACAUUGUUGAGUGUCACGCCUAUACGCUUUGUCAAAAUGACACAAAAAUUGACACACACAUGUAACUCAAUAAGAUCUACGAAAAAGUCAAUGCGCGCAUAUCUGUCAAAUGUACGGUUAAAGGGUUAUUCCGCAUUUUUUGCCGAUCCGCACACAUUGGAAUUUCGCUAACUCCUCCGAAGGCUUUCUGUCCACCGGCACCACAUUUGCUCAGGCCAAUCUACACCCCAUGGCCAUUAAAAGUUAUCAAAAUCAUGACGCUGCACCCCACGGUUUAGGUUCUAGGGGGCGCCAAAGACAACCCUAAAAUCCACAUAUUUAAAAGUCUUAUAACUUUUUAUUUUUGUCCUCACUGGCCUCCAAGUUUUCUAGGAUGAUGCAAUGUCCAGCCAUCAACACAUUUGUGAAGGAAUUUUUACUCCCCAAAAGAGCGCCCCCCCAUGGCAGGAGAAAAAAGUCCAUUUUUUCUUGUCCCCUAAGGUGAAAAUACAUAUUGUUGAGAUUCACGCCUAUACGCUUUGUCAUAUUGACACAAAAUUUGACAAUCACGUGCCUUGCCUGGUAUCAUUUUUUUCAGCACAACCUCACCUGUGCGAAUUUACAGUUAUUUUAUCAUGUUGACAUACUGAAUUUACACAAUGGACCCAAAUUCACACAAAAAACAUAAAAUCCGAGUGGAAAAAAGUAACAUUUUUACUGUGAAAACCACAAAUAGGUGUGAUGAACUGUUUUUAAAACUUAAACUUCAAAUAAAAAUUGUAAACUUCAAAACAUAUGCAAAUUUUUAACAAAGAACAUAGUGAUUUACCUCUAUUUACAUCAAAAUGCAGGCUAUGGCCCAGGCGUUCUUUGUAAAAUUAUUUACAAAACACUGUAUAGUCUCACAAAUGUCACUUUUUAUUUAUGCCACUACAAAAAAACAUGAUGUAAAUGAUGCAUGAUGUAAAACAUGAUGUAAAAAACUUGUGUAGAUCCUCCUCUAUGUCAGUCCAUGUGUAAUUUUUCCAUAAUUCUUUGUUUUUUGCAGCAUUUUUGUUAGUGUAACUGCAGAUUGUGCUGACAGUGUCUAUGGCACAAAAAAGAAAAAAAUUAAAAUUCCUCAACAUGAACCCCUGGUGGUCUCUGAGGGUGAAACCUGCUAACUGCUGCAGCUCUGUCAGCUUCAGUCUCCCAUGCAGAGCUCUGAGCGCAUGUGUGGCUCUGCACCCUUAGCAGCGUUGCUAACUCCUCAGUAAGGAAAGCCUGCUUCAUGUCAGAGUCUCCAAACUCCAGAAGAAGUCGAUAAAAGUCCCUUUCUUUCUAAAAAAAAGUCGUUAGGGGGUCUGAAAAGUCAUUGAAUCUAACAACAAAGUCGCUAGGUUUGCAACUACGUGUCCCAGACUGCAUCCCUGCUGAGAGUCCCUCCCUCCCUUCUCAUGUUGCAGGAAGAACGUAAGCGCCCGCCCCUUGUCAUUCAGUCACCAUAUAAUUUUGGAUUGGUUGUUGUGGUGAAGUUUUCCACCAAUAGGAGAGAUGUUGUGGUGUGUUUUUUUUUCUUUUGGCAAGCCUUUUCCGCCUGUAAGACCUGUCGCUAAUGUCUGCAUGCUAUGUUUUCCUGUCUCAUACAGCGCGAUCGAGCGCCGAACGUGAUCAAAAUAAGCAGAAAAAAAGUAUCGCGGACAUAAUUUAUCAUAACUCUGGUUUUAUUUGGCCUAUCAACACAAUUUAAAAACUGGUAUAUAGGUUGAGGUCCUCACUUUUGAGAUAAGUUGAAACGGAGAGUCAACGAGGCUCCGUCUUGCAGCUACAUCCGGUUAAAUAUGUCAUGUGACUUGAACGCACACACAGACACACACACACGCACACACACACACACACACACACACACACACACACACACACACACACACACACACACACACACACACACACAGAGUCUGGUUUUUAGCACCUGCAAAAACAUGCUAUUUACAUAUUUGACAAGAAUGCAGAGGCUCCUUUUGCCCCUGAAAAAAAUCAAAUUUCAAACACAACUUGACUGGUCAUUUCUCCAAAAGACAACCAUGAAGCUCCAUCCAAACCUGAAGCAGGCAGUUGGUGCAUGUGUACAAUAACCUGAGGGGAGUGAGGUGAGUGCUUCUGAGGAGAACAUGAGCAGUGAAGAUUCACCUUGGUGCUAGAACAGAGACAUGCACAUGAUUAUACAGGGGCAGGGGCUCAAGUUUUUUCCAGUCGUUUAUACAAUAUGGAAAUUAAUGUGAAAUUAAAACACAAAGUAGUAAUAGAAAGGUAAUGACUGUCCUGUGUAGGUGACAGUGAUAUCGAAUAGGCUAGGCACUCACGAGGCUGGCUGUGGCAAGUGUAAGUGAAAGCAACACGCACUGGCAGGAAGAACAGCAAACGCCGAUGAAGGAAAAGGGUCUUUGCAGUGAUGGGCGUUACCAGAGAGGGCGAUGGCCAGAGGACACAAAUGGGACGGGGAGGCAGCACGUUGGGGGGGGGGGGGGACGCGACACAGCUCGGGCCCGCCAGUGCCCCAACGGGGUCCUAGUUCUUUCUUUCUUCUUUUUCCUCCCCUUUGAACUGGAAAAUGGCCCACUUCCCACUGGCGAAAACUCAUGAAAUUUGGCAGGACGACCGGGCCUGGUGAAAAAUUCGAUAUUCUGAAGUCGCCCAAACAAUAAAAUGCAAAAUGGCUCCAUAGCGCCCCCUAAGGUGGAAAUUCACACUAUUGACUGUCACGCCUGUACGCUUUGUCAUAUUGACACAAAAAUUGACACACAUAUGUAUCUCAAUAAGAUCUACAAAAAAGUCAGUGCGGCCGUAUCUGUCAAAAUUACGGUUAAAGGGUUAUUUCGCAUUUUUUGCCGAUCCGCACACAUUGGAAUUUCGCUAACUCCUCCGAAGGCUUUCGUUCCACCGGCACCACAUUUGCUCAGGCCAAUCUACACCCCGUGGCCAUUAAAAGUUAUCAAAAUCAUGACGCUGCACCCCAAGGUUUAGGUUCUAGGGGGCGCCAAAGAUAACACUAAAAUCCACAUAUUUAAAAGUCUUAUAACUUUUUAUUUUUGUCCUCACUGGCCUCCAAGUUUUCUAGGAUGAUGCAAUGUCCAGCCAUCAACACAUUUGUGAAGGAAUUUUUACUCCCCAAAAGAGCGCCCCCCAUGGCAGGAGAAAAAAGUCCAUUUUUUCUUGUCCCCUAAGGUGAAAAUACACACUGUUGAGUGUCACGCCUAUACGCUUUGUCAAAAUGACACAAAAAUUGACACACACAUGUAACUCAAUAAGAUCUACGAAAAAGUCAAUGCGCGCGUAUCUGUCAAAUGUACGGUUAAAGGGUUAUUCCGCAUUUUUUGCCGAUCCGCACACAUUGGAAUGUGGCUAACUCCUCCUAAGGCUUUCGUUCCACCGGCACCACAUUUGCUCAGGCCAAUCUACACCCCAUGGCCAUUAAAAGUUAUUCAAAUCAUGACGCUGCACCCCACGGUUUAGGUUCUAGGGGGCGCCAAAGAUAACCCUAAAAUCCACAUAUUUCAAAGUCUUAUAACUUUUUAUUUUUGUCCUCACUGGCCUCCAAGUUUUCUAGGAUGAUGCAAUGUCCAGCCAUCAACACAUUUGUGAAGGAAUUUUUACUCCCCAAAAGAGCGCCCCCCCAUGGCAGGAGAAAAAAGUCAAUUUUUUCUUGUCCCAUAAGGUGAAAAAACACAUUGUUGACUGUCAUACCUGUACGCUUUGUCAUAUUGACACAAAAUUUGACAAUCACAUGUAUCUCAAUAAGAUCUACGAAAAAGUCAAUGCGCGCGUAUCUGUAAAAUGUACGGUUAAAGGGCUAUUUUGCAUUUUUUGCCGAUUCGCACACAUUGGAAUGUGGCUAACUCCUCCUAAGGCUUUCGUUCCACCGGCACCACAUUUGCUCAGGCCAAUCUACACCCCAUGGCCAUUCAAAGUUGUAAAAAUCAUGACGCUGCACCCCACGGUUUACGUUCUAGGGGGCGCCAAAGAUGACCCAAAUAUCCACAUUCUUAAAAGAAUCCACAUCCCCCCCCCCCCCCCCCCCAUCCCCCAACCCCCAUGGCAGGAGAAACAGUCAAGUUUUUCCUGCCCAUCACUCAAUGGCUCAAUCGCAUCACUCUCCCGGCAACACCGUAACGAGGAGCAACUUGCCGUUUGGAUAUAUCCUAGCUGUGUUUGUGCCCUCACUCAUGGUCCAGACUUUUUUCAAAUAGGACAUGUAGUUUGUCUGCAGCGAGUGUUUUGGUAGAAACUGCGCCUCCCAUUCAUUAUAAUGGGAAAUGACCACAGACAAGUGCGCACACCAUCUUUGGACCUUGAGUGUGACGCGAUCGGGAGGGGGAGGCGGUCGCGCUGGGGGCGGCGCAACGCGGCUCGGGCCCGACAGUGCCCCACCGGGGCCCUAGUUAUUAUUAUUUUUCUGCCCCUUUGAACAGGAAAAUGGCCCACUUCCCACUGGCGAAAACUCAGGAAAUUUGGCAGGACGACCGGGCCUGGUGAAAAAUUCGAUAUUCUGAAGUCGCCCAAACAAUCAAAAGCAAAAUGGCUCCAUAGCGCCCCCUAAGGUGAAAAAUUCACAUGAUUGAGUGUCAUGCCUGUACGCUUUGUCAAAAUGACACAAAAUUUGACACACACGUGUAUCUCAAUAAGAUCUACAAAAAAGUCAGCGCGGGCGUAUCUGUCAAAUGUACGGUUAAAGGGCUAUUUCGCAUUUUUUGCCGAUCCGCACACAUUGGAAUUUCGCUAACUCCUCCGAAGGCUUUCGUUCCACCGGCACCACAUUUGCUCAGGCCAAUCUACACCCCAUGGCCAUUAAAAGUUGUACAAAUCAUGACGCUGCACCCCACGGUUUACGUUCUAGGGGGCGCCAAAUAUAACCCAAAAAUCCACAUUCUUAAAAGUCUUAUAACUUUUUAUUUUUGUCCUCACUGGCCUCCAAGUUCUCUAGGAUGAUGCAAUGUCCAGCCAUCAACACAUUUGUGAAGGAAUUUUUACUCCCCAAAAGAGCGCCCCCCCAUGGCAGGAGAAAAAAGUCCAUUUUUUCUUGUCCCAUUAGGUGAAAAUACACAUUGUUGAGUGUCACGCCUGUACGCUUUGUCAUAUUGACACAAAAUUUGACAAUCACGUGUAUCUCAAUAAGAUCUACGAAAAAGUCAAUGCGCACGUAUCUGUAAAAUGUACGGUUAAAGGGCUAUUACGCAUUUUUGGUCGAUUCGCACACAUUGGAAUGUGGCUUACUCCUCCUAAGGCUUUCGUCCCACUGACACCAAAUUUGCUCAGGCCAAUCUACACCCCAUGGCCAUUAAAAUUUGUACAAAUCAUGACGCUGCACCCCACGGUUUACAUUCUUGGGGGCGCCAAAGAUAACCCAAAAAUCCACAUUCUUUAAAGUCUUAUAACUUUUCAUUUUUGUCCUCACUGGCUUCCAAGUUUUCUAGGAUGAUGCAAUGUCCAGCCAUCAACACAUUUGUGAAGGAAUUUUUUCUCUCUAAAAGAGUGCCCCCCCAUGGCAGGAGAAAAAGUCAAGUUUUUCCUGCCCAUCGCUCAAUGGCUCAAACACAUCGCUCUCUCAGCAAAACCGAAAGGAGGAGCAACUUGCCAUUUGGAUAUAUCCUAGCUGUGUUUGUGCCCUCACUCAUGGUCCAGACUUUUUUCAAAUAGGACAUGUAGUUUGUCUGCAGCGAGCGUUUUGGUAGAAACUGCGCCUCCAAUUCAUUAUAAUGUAAAUGACCACAGACAAGUGCGCACACCAUCUUUGGACCUUGAGUGUGACGCGAUCGGGAGGGAGAGGCGGUCGUGUUGGGGGCGGCGCGACACAGCUCGGGCCCGCCAGUGCCCCAACGGGGCCCUAGUUUCGUUAUUAUUUUUCCUCCGCUUUAAACUGGAAAAUGGCCCACUUCCCACUGGCGAAAACUCAUGAAAUUUGGCAGGACGACCGGGCCUGGUGAAAAAUUCGAUAUUCUGAAGUCGCCCAAACAAUAAAAUGCAAAAUGGCUCCAUAGCGCCCCCUAAGGUGAAAAAUUCACCUGAUGCCUGUACGCUUUGUCAAAAUGACACAAAAUUUGACACACACGUGUAUCUGAAUAAGAUCUACGAAAAAGUCUGCGCGGGCGUAUCUGUCAAAUGUACGGUUAAACAUUUAUUUCGCAUUUUUUGCCCAUCCGCACACAUUGGAAUUUCGCUAACUCCUCUGAAGGCUUUCGUUCCACCGGCACCAAAUUUGCUCAGGUCAAUCUACACCCCAUGGCCAUUAAAAGUUGUACAAAUCAUGACGCUGCACCCCACGGUUUAGGUUCUAGGGGGCGCCAAAGAUAACCCAAAAAUCCACGUUCUUAAAAGUCUUAUAACUUUUUCUUUUUGUCCUCACUGGCCUCCAAGUUUUCUAGGAUGAUGCAAUGUCCAGCCAUCAACACAUUUGUGAAGGAAUUUUUACUCCCCAAAAGAGCGCCCCCCCAUGGCAGGAGAAAAAAGUCCAUUUUUUCUUGUCCCCUAAGGUGAAAAUACACAUUGUUGAGUGUCACACCUAUACGCUUUGUCAAAAUGACACAAAAUUUGACACACUCAUGUAUCUCAAUAAGAUCUACGAAAAAGUCAAUGGGCACGUAUCUGUAAAAUGUACGGUUAAAGGGCUAUUUUGCAUUUUUUGCCGAUUCGCACACAUUGGAAUGUGGCUAACUCCUCCUAAGGCUUUCGUCCCACUGACACCAAAUAUGCUCAGGCCAAUCUACACCCCAUGGCCAUUCAAAGUUGUAAAAAUCAUGACGCUGAACCCCACGGUUUACGUUCUAGGGGGCGCCAAAGAUGACCCAAAAAUCCCCAUUCCUAAAAGUUGUUUUGGCCACUGAGUGGCGCCAAAUGGAAUUGACUAUUAACAGCAGACAAAGUACUUAUGGCCACUGAGGGGCGCCAAAGGAAGCUUUCUAUUAAAUCUGAUGCUACUGAUGCUACAGAAAAAGUUAAAAGAUGACCCAAAUAUCCACAUUUUUAAAAGUCUUUUAACUUUUUAUUUUUGUCCUCACUGGCCUCCAAGUUUUCUAGGAUGAUGCAAUGUGCAGCCAUCAACACAUCUGUGAAGGUCAUAGCUUUGUCAUAUUGACACAAAAUUUGACAAUCACGUGCCUUGCCUGGUAUCAUUUUUUUCAGCACAACCUCACCUGUGCGAAUUUACAGUUAUUUUAUCAUGUUGACAUACUGAAUUUACACAAUGGACCCAAAUUCACACACAAAACAUAAAAUCAGAGUGGAAAAAAGUAACAUUUUUACUGUGAAAACCACAAAUAUGUGUGAUGAACUGUUUUUAAAACUUAAACUUCAAAUAAAAAUUGUAAACUUCAAAACAUAUGCAAAUUUUUAACAAAGAACAUAGUGAUUUACCUCUAUUUUCAUCAAAAUGCAGGCAAUGGCCCAGGCGUUCUUUGUAAAUUUAUUUACAAAACACUGUAUAGUCUCACAAAUGUCACUUUUUAUUUAUGCCACUACAAAAAAACGAUGUAAAUGAUGCAUGAUGUAAAACAUGAUGUAAAAAACUUGUGUAGCUCCUCCUCUAUGUCAGUCCAUGUGUAAUUUUUCCAUAAUUCUUUGUUUUUUGCAGCAUUUUUGUUAGUGUAACUGCAGAUUGUGCUGACAGGAACUGCGCCUCCCAUUCAUUAUAAUGGGAAAUGACCACAGACAAGUGCGCACAAGUCGCCCAAACAAUACAAUGCAAAAUGGCUCCAUAGCGCCCCCUAAGGUGAAAAAUUCACCUGACGCCUGUACGCUUUGUCAAAAUGACACAAAAAUUGACACACACAUGUAUCUCAAUAAGAUCUACAAAAAAGUCAGUGCGGGCGUAUCUGUCAAAUGUACGGUUAAAGGGUUAUUGCGCAUUUUUUGCCGAUCCGCACACAUUGGAAUUUCGCUAACUCCUCCGAAGGCUUUCGUUCCACCGGCACCACAUUUGCUCAGGCCAAUCUACACCCCAUGGCCAUUAAAAGUUAUUCAAAUCAUGACGCUGCACCCCACGGUUUAGGUUCUAGGGGGCGCCAAAGAUAACCCUAAAAUCCACAUAUUUAAAAGUCUUAUAACUUUUUAUUUUUGUCCUCCCUGGCCUCCAAGUUUUCUAGGAUGAUGCAAUGUCCAGCCAUCAACACAUUAGUGAAGGAAUUUUUACUCCCCAAAAGAGCGCCCCCCCAUGGCAGGAGAAAAAAGUCCAUUUUUUCUUGUCCCAUAAGGUGAAAAUACACAUUGUUGACUGUCAUACCUGUAUGCUUUGUCAUAUUGACACAAAAUUUGACACACACAUGUAUCUCAAUAAGAUCUACGAAAAAGUCAAUGCGCGCGUAUCUGUAAAAUGUACGGUUAAAGGGCUAUUUUGCAUUUUUUGCUGAUUAGCACACAUUGGAAUGUGGCUAACUCCUCCUAAGGCUUUCGUCCCACUGACACCAAAUUUGCUCAGGCCAAUCUACACCCCAUGGCCAUUCAAAGUUUUAAAAAUCAUGACGCUGCACCCCACGGUUUACGUUCUAGGGGGCGCCAAAGAUGACCCAAAUAUCCACAUUCUUAAAAGAAUCCACAUCCCCCCCCCCCCCCCCCAUCCCCCAUCCCCCAUCCCCCAUGGCAGGAGAAACAGUCAAGUUUUUCCUGCCCAUCACUCAAUGGCUCAAUCGCAUCGCUCUCCCGGCAACACCGUAACGAGGAGCAACUUGCCGUUUGGAUAUAUCCUAGCUGUGUUUGUGCCCUCACUCAUGGUCCAGACUUUUUUCAAAUAGGACAUGUAGUUUGUCUGCAGCGAGUGUUUUGGUAGAAACUGCGCCUCCCAUUCAUUAUAAUGGGAAAUGACCACAGACAAGUGCGCACACCAUCUUUGGACCUUGAGUGUGACGCGAUCGGGAGAGGGAGGCGGUCGCACUGGGGGCGGCGCAACGCGGCUCGGGCCCGCCAGUGCCCCAACGGGGCCCUAGUUAUUAGGGCCCGAGCGUAGCUGCUAAGCAGCUGCGAGAGCCCUAUUAUUCCCCAAGAGGUUUUUCUUUGUUUCUUUCUUUCUUCUUUUUCCUCCCCUUUGAACUGGAAAAUGGCCCACUUCCCACUGGCGAAAACUCAUGAAAUUUGGCAGGAUGACCGGGCCUGGUGAAAAAUUUGAUAUUCCGAAGUCGCCCAAACAAGAAAAUGCAAAAUGGCUCCAUAGCGCCCCCUAAGGUGAAAAUUCACACUAUUGACUGUCACGCCUUUACGCUUUGUCAAAAUGACACAAAAAUUGACACACACAUGUAUCUCAAUAAGAUCUACAAAAAAGUCAGUGCGGGCGUAUCUGUCAAAUGUACGGUUAAAGGGUUAUUCCGCAUUUUUUGCCGAUCCGCACACAUUGGAAUUUCGCUAACUCCUCCGAAGGCUUUCGUUCCACCGGCACCACAUUUGCUCAGGCCAAUCUACACCCCAUGCCCAUUAAAAGUUAUUCAAAUCAUGACGCUGCACCCCACGGUUUAGGUUCUAGGGGGCGCCAAAGAUAACCCUAAAAUCCACAUAUUUCAAAGUCUUAUAACUUUUUAUUUUUGCCCUCACUGGCCUCCAAGUUUUCUAGGAUGAUGCAAUGUCCAGCCAUCAACACAUUUGUGAAGGAAUUUUUACUCCCCAAAAGAGCGCCCCCCCAUGGCCGGAGAAAAAAGUCCAUUUUUUCUUGUCCCCUAAGGUGAAAAUACACAUUGUUGAGUGUCACGCCUGUACGCUUUGUCAUAUUGACACAAAAUUUGACAAUCACGUGUAUCUCAAUAAGAUCUACGAAAAAGUCAAUGCGCGCGUAUCUGUCAAAUGUACGGUUAAAGGGUUAUUCCGCAUUUUUUGCUGAUCCGCACACAUUGGAAUUUCGCUAACUCCUCCUAAGGCUGGCGUUCCACCGGCACCACAUUUGCUCAGGCCAAUCUACACCCCAUGGCCAUUAAAAGUUAUUCAAAUCAUGACGCUGCACCCCACGGUUUAGGUUCUAGGGGGCGCCAAAGAUAACCCUAAAAUCCACAUAUUUCAAAGUCUUAUAACUUUUUAUUUUUGUCCUCACUGGCCUCCAAGUUUUCUAGGAUAAUGCAAUGUCCAGCCAUCAACACAUUUGUGAAGGAAUUUUUACUCCCCAAAAGAGCGCCCCCCCAUGGCAGGAGAAAAAAGUCCAUUUUUUCUUGUCCCGUAAGGUGAAAAUUCACAUUGUUGAGUGUGACACCUGUACGCUUUGUCAUAUUGACACAAAAUUUGACAAUCACGUGUAUCUCAAUAAGAUCUACGAAAAAGUCAAUGGGUGCGUAUCUGUCAAAUGUACGGUUAGAGGGCUAUUUUGCAUUUUUUGCCGAUUCGCACACAUUGGAAUGUGGCUAACUCCUCCUAAGGCUUUCGUCCCACUGACACCAAAUUUGCUCAGGCCAAUCUACACCCCAUGGCCAUUCAAAGUUGUAAAAAUCAUGACGCUGCACCCCACGGUUUACGUUCUAGGGGGCGCCAAAGAUGACCAAAAAAUCCACAUUCUUAAAAGAAUCCACAUUCUCCCCCCCCCCCCAUGGCAGGAGAAAAAGUCAAGUUUUUCCUGCCCAUCGCUCAAUGGCUCAAUCGCAUCGCUCUCCAGGCAACACCGUAAGGAGGAGCAACCUGCCAUUUGGAUAUAUCCCAGCUGUGUUUGUGCCCUCACUCAUGGUCCAGACUUUUUUCAAAUAGGACAUGAAGUUUGUCUGCAGCGAGUGUUUUGGUAGAAACUGCGCCUCCCAUUCAUUAUAAUGGGAAAUGACCACAGACAAGUGCGCACACCAUCUUUGGACCUUGAGUGUGACGCGAUCGGGAGGGGUAGGCGGUCACGCUGGGGGCGGCACGACGCGGCUCGGGCCCGACAGUGCCCCACCGGGGCCCUAGUUAGGGCCCGAGCGUAGCUGCUAAGCAGCUGCGAGAGCCCUAUUAUUCCUGAUGGAUUCUUCUUUCUUCUUUAGGGCCCGAGCGUAGCUGCUAAGCAGCUGCGAGAGCCCUCUUGUUCCUGAUGGAUUCUUCUUUUGUUAUUAUUAUUAUUUUUCCUCCGCUUUAAACUGGAAAAUGGCCGACUUCCCACUGGCGAAAACUCAUGAAAUUUGGCAGGACGACCGGGCCUGGUGAAAAAUUCGAUAUUCUGAAGUCGCCCAAACAAUAAAAUGCAAAAUGGCUCCAUAGCGCCCCCUAAGGCGAAAAUUCACACUAUUGACUGUCACGCCUGUACGCUUUGUCAUAUUGACACAAAAAUUGACACACACGUGUAUCUCAAUACGUUCUACGAAAAAGUCAGCGCGGGCGCAUCUGUGAAAUGUACAGUUAAAGGGUUAUUUCGCAUUUUUUGCCGAUCUGCACACAUUGGAAUUUCGCUAACUCCUCCGAAGGCAUUCGUUCCACCGGCACCACAUUUGCUCAGGCCAAUCUACACCCCAUGGCCAUUAAAAGUUGUACAAAUCAUGACGCUGCACCCCACAGUUUACGUUCUAGGGGGCGCCAAAGAUAACCCAAAAAUCCACAGUCUUAAAAGUCUUAUAACUUUUUAUUUUUGUCCUCACUGGCCUCCAAGUUCUCUAGGAUGAUGCAAUGUCCAGCCAUCAACACAUUUGUGAAGGAAGUUUUACUCCCCAAAAGAGCGCCCCCCCAUGGCAGGAGAAAAAAGUCAAUUUUUUCUUGUCCCCUAAGGUGAAAAUACACAUUGUUGAGUGUCACGCCUAUACGCUUUGUCAUAUUGACACAAAAUUUGACAAUCACGUGUAUCUCAAUAAGAUCUACGAAAAAGUCAAUGGGCACGUAUCUGUCAAAUGUACGGUUAAAGGGCUAUUUCGCAUUUUUUGCCGAUUCGCACACAUUGGAAUGUGGCUAACUCCUCCUAAGGCUUUCUUCCCACUGACACCAAAUUUGCUCAGGCCAAUCUACACCCCAUGGCCAUUCAAAGUUGUAAAAAUCAUGACGCUGCACCCCACGGUUUACGUUCUAGGGGGCGCCAAAGAUGACCCAAAUAUCCACAUUCUUAAAAGUCGUUUUGGCCACUGCAGGAGUACAGAGUACUGCAGGAUACACACACACAGACACACACAAACACAGACACACACACACACGCACACACACACACACACACACACACACACUCAGAGUCUGUUUUUUAGCACCUGCAAAAACAUGCUAUUUACAUAUUUGACAACAAUGCAGAGGCUCCUUUUGCCCCUGAAAAAAAUCAAAUUUCAAACACAACUUGACUGGUCAUUUCUCCAAAAGACAACCAUGAAGCUCCAUCCAAACCUGAAGCAGGCAGUUGGUGCAUGUGUACAGUUACCUGAGGGGAGUGAGGUGAGUGCUUCUGAGGAGAACAUGAGCAGUGAAGAUUCACCUUGGAGCGAGAACAGGGACGUGCACAUGAUUAUACAGGGGCAGGGGCUCAAGUUUUUUCCAGUCGUUUAUACAAUAUGGAAAUUAAUGUGAAAUUAAAAAACAAAGUAUUAAUAGAAAGGUAAUGACUGUCCUGUGUAGGUGACAGUGAUAUCCAAUAGGCUAGGCACUCACGAGGCUGGCUGUGGCAAGUGUAAGUGAAAGCAACACGCACUGGCAGGAAGAACAGCAAACGCCGAUGAAGGAAAAGGGUCUUUGCAGUGAUGGGCGUUACCAGAGAGGACGAUGGCCAGAGGACGCGAAUGGGACGGGGAGGCAGCGCAUUGGUGGGGGGGGGGGGCGCGACACAGCUCGGGCCCGCCAGUGCCCCAACGGGGCCCUAGUCUUCUUCUUAUUAUUUUUCUGCCCCUUUGAACUGGAAAAUGGCCCACUUCCCACUGGUGAAAAGUCAUGAAAUUUGGCAGGACGACCGGGCCUGGUGAAAAAUUCGAUAUUCUGAAGUCGCCCAAAAAAUCAAAUGCAAAAUGGCUCCAUAGCGCCCCCUAAGGUGAAAAAUUCACAUGAUUGAGUGUCACGCCUGUACGCUUUGUCAAAAUGACACAAAAUUUGACACACACGUGUAUCUCAAUAAGAUCUACAAAAAAGUCAGUGCGGGCGUAUCUGUCAAAUGUACGGUUAAAGGGCUAUUUCGCAUUUUUUGCCGAUCCGCACACAUUGGAAUUUCGCUAACUCCUCCGAAGGCUUUCGUUCCACCGGCACCAAAUUUGCUCAGGCCAAUCUACACCCCAUGGCCAUUAAAAGUUGUACAAAUCAUGACGCUGCAUCCCACGGUUUACGUUCUAGGGGGCGCCAAAGAUAACCCAGAAAUCCACAUUCUUAAAAGUCGUAUAACUUUUUAUUUUUGUCCUCACUGGCCUCCAAGUUUUCUAGGAUGAUGCAAUGUCCAGCCAUCAACACAUUUGUGAAGGAAUUUUUACUCCCCAAAAGAGCGCCCCCCCAUGGCAGGAGAAAAAAGUCCAUUUUUUCUUGUCUCCUAAGGCGAAAAUUCACACUAUUGACUGUCACGCCUUUACGCUUUGUCAUAUUGACACAAAAAUUGACACACACAUGUAUCUCAAUAAGAUCUACAAAAAAGUCAGUGCGGGCGUAUCUGUCAAAUGUACGGUGAAAGGGCUAUUUCGCAUUUUUUGCCGAUCCGCACACAUUGGAAUUUCGCUAACUCCUCCGAAGGCUUUCGUUCCAAAGGCACCACAUUUGCUGAGGCCAAUCUACACCCCAUGGCCAUUAAAAGUUGUACAAAUCAUGACGCUGCACCCCACGGUUUACGUUCUAGGGGGCGCCAAAGAUAACCCAAAAAUCCACAGUCUUAAAAGUCUUAUAACUUUUUAUUUUUGUCCUCACUGGCCUCCAAGUUCUCUAGGAUGAUGCAAUGUCCAGCCAUCAACACAUUUGUGAAGGAAUUUUUACUCGCCAAAAGAGCGCCCCCCCAUGGCAGGAGAAAAAAGUCCAUUUUUUCUUGUCUCCUAAGGCGAAAAUACACAUUGUUGACUGUCACGCCUUUACGCUUUGUCAAAAUGACACAAAAUUUGACACACACAUGUAUCUCAAUAAGAUCUACAAAAAAGUCAGUGCGGGCGUAUCUGUCAAAUGUACGGUUAAAGGGUUAUUUCGCAUUUUUUGCCGAUCCGCACACAUUGGAAUUUCGCUAACUCCUCCUAAAUCUUUUGUCCCAUCGGCUUCAAAUUUGCUCAGGUCAAUCUACACCCCAUGGCCAUUCAAAGUUGUACAACUCAUGACGCUGCACCCCACAGUUUACGUUCUAGGGGGCGCCAAAGAGGACCCAAAUAUCCACAUUUUUAAAAGUCUUAUAACUUUUUAUUUUUGUCCUCACUGGCCUCCAAGUUUUCUAGGAUGAUGCAAUGUCCAGCCAUCAACACAUUUGUGAAGGAAUUUUUUCUCCCCAAAAGAGCGCCCCCCCAUGGCAGGAGAAAAAGUCAAGUUUUUCCUGCCCAUCGCUCAAUGGCUCAAACGCAUCGCUCUCUCUGCAAAACCGAAAGGAGGAGCAACUUGCCAUUUGGAUAUAUACUAGCUGUGUUUGUGCCCUCACUCAUGGUCCAGACUUUUUUCAAAUAGGACAUGUAGUUUGUCUGCAGCGAGCGUUUUGGUAGAAACUGCGCCUCCCAUUCAUUAUAAUGGGAAAUGACCACAGACAAGUGCGCACACAAUCUUUGGACCUUGAGUGUGACGCGAUCGGGAGGGGGAGGCGGUCGCGCUGGGGGCGGCGCGACGCGGCUAGGGCCCGACAGUGCCCCACCGGGGCCCUAGUUAGGGCCCGAGCCAGCUGCAGAGCAGCCGGGCGUAGGCCCUAUUAUUCCCCAAGUGGUUUUUCUUUGUUUCUUUCUUUCUUUUUUCUUUUUCCUCCCCUUUGAACUGGAAAAUGGCCCACUUCCCACUGGCGAAAACUCAUGAAAUUUGGCAGGACGACCGGGCCUGGUGAAAAAUUUGAUAUUCUGAAGUCGCCCAAAACAAUAAAAUGCAAAAUGGCUCCAUAGCGCCCCCUAAGGUGAAAAUUCACACUAUUCACUGUCACGACUGUACGCUUUGUCAAAAUGACACAAAAAUUGACACACACAUGUAUCUCAAUAAGAUCUACAAAAAAGUCAGUGCGGCCGUAUCUGUCAAAAUUACGGUUAAAGGGUUAUUUCACAUUUUUUGCCGAUCUGCACACAUUGGAAUUUCGCUAACUCCUCCGAAGGCUUUCGUUCCACCGGCACCACAUUUGCUCAGGCCAAUCUACACCCCGUGGCCAUUAAAAGUUAUCAAAAUCAUGACGCUGCACCCCAAGGUUUAGGUUCUAGGGGGCGCCAAAGAUAACACUAAAAUCCACAUAUUUAAAAGUCUUAUAACUUUUUAUUUUUGUCCUCACUGGCCUCCAAGUUUUCUAGGAUGAUGCAAUGUCCAGCCAUCAACACAUUUGUGAAGGAAUUUUUACUCCCCAAAAGAGCGCCCCCCCAUGGCAGGAGAAAAAAGUCCAUUUUUUCUUGUCCCCUAAGGUGAAAAUACACAUUGUUGAGUGUCACGCCUAUACGCUUUGUCAAAAUGACACAAAAAUUGACACACACAUGUAACUCAAUAAGAUCUACGAAAAAGUCAAUGCGCGCGUAUCUGUCAAAUGUACGGUUAAAGGGUUAUUCCGCAUUUUUUGCCGAUCCGCACACAUUGGAAUGUGGCUAACUCCUCCUAAGGCUUUCGUUCCACCGGCACCACAUUUGCUCAGGCCAAUCUACACCCCAUGGCCAUAAAAAGUUAUCAAAAUCAUGACGCUGCACCCCACGGUUUAGGUUCUAGGGGGCGCCAAAGAUAACCCUAAAAUCCACAUAUUUAAAAGUCUUAUAACUUUUUAUUUUUGUCCUCACUGGCCUCCAAGUUUUCUAGGAUGAUGCAAUGUCCAGCCAUCAACACAUUUGUGAAGGAAUUUUUACUCCCCAAAAGAGCGCCCCCCCAUGGCAGGAGAAAAAAGUCCAUUUUUUCUUGUCCCCUAAGGUGAAAAUACAUAUUGUUGAGAUUCACGCCUAUACGCUUUGUCAUAUUGACACAAAAUUUGACAAUCACGUGCCUUGCCUGGUAUCAUUUUUUUCAGCACAACCUCACCUGUGCGAAUUUACAGUUAUUUUAUCAUGUUGACAUACUGAAUUUACACAAUGGACCCAAAUUCACACACAAAACAUAAAAUCCGAGUGGAAAAAAGUAACAUUUUUACUGUGAAAACCACAAAUAUGUGUGAUGAACUGUUUUUAAAACUUAAACUUCAAAUAAAAAUUGUAAACUUCAAAACAUAUGCAAAUUUUUAACAAAGAACAUAGUGAUUUACCUCUAUUUACAUCAAAAUGCAGGCAAUGGCCCAGGCGUUCUUUGUAAAAUUAUUUACAAAACACUGUAUAGUCUCACAAAUGUCACUUUUUAUUUAUGCCACUACAAAAAAACAUGAUGUAAAUGAUGCAUGAUGUAAAACAUGAUGUAAAAAACUUGUGUAGAUCCUCCUGUAUGUCAGUCCAUGUGUAAUUUUUCCAUAAUUCUUUGUUUUUUGCAGCAUUUUUGUUAGUGUAACUGCAGAUUGUGCUGACAGUGUCUAUGGCACAAAAAAAAAAAAAUUAAAAUGCCUCAACAUGAACCCCUGGUGGUCUCUGAGGGUGAAACCUGCUAACUGCUGCAGCUCUGUCAGCUUCAGUCUCCCAUGCAGAGCUCUGAGCGCAUGUGUGGCUCUGCACCCUUAGCAGCGUUGCUAACUCCUCAGUAAGGAAAGCCUGCUUCAUGUCAGAGUCUCUAAACUCCAGAAGAAGUCGAUAAAAGUCCCUUUCUUUCUAAAAAAAAGUCGUUAGGGGGUCUGAAAAGUCAUUGAAUCUAACAACAAAGUCGCUAGGUUUGCAACUACGUGUCCCAGACUGCAUCCCUGCUGAGAGUCCCUCCCUCCCUUCUCAUGUUGCAGGAAGAACGUAAGCGCCCGCCCCUUGUCAAUCAGUCACCAUAUAAUUUUGGAUUGGUUGUUGUGGUGAAGUUUUCCACCAAUAGGAGAGAUGUUGUGGUGUGUUUUUUUUUUCUUUUGGCAAGCCUUUUCCGCCUGUAAGAGCUGUCGCUAAUGUCUGCAUGCUAUGUUUUCCUGUCUCAUACAGCGCGAUCGAGCGCCGAACGUGAUCAAAAUAAGCAGAAAAAAAGUAUCGCGGACAUAAUUGAUCAUAACUCUGGUUUUAUUUGGCCUAUCAACACAAUUUAAAAACUGGUAUAUAGGUUGAGGUCCUCACUUUUGAGAUAAGUUGAAACGGAGAGUCAACGAGGCUCCGUCUUGCUGCUACAUCCGGUUAAAUAUGUCAUGUGACUUGAACGCACACACAGACACACACACACGCACACACACACACACACACACACACACUCAGAGUCUGGUUUUUAGCACCUGCAAAAACAUGCUAUUUACAUAUUUGACAAGAAUGCAGAGGCUCCUUUUGCCCCUGAAAAAAAUCAAAUUUCAAACACAACUUGACUGGUCAUUUCUCCAAAAGACAACCAUGAAGCUCCAUCCAAACCUGAAGCAGGCAGUUGGUGCAUGUGUACAGUAACCUGAGGGGAGUGAGGUGAGUGCUUCUGAGGAGAACAUGAGCAGUGAAGAUUCACCUUGGAGCUAGAACAGAGACAUGCACAUGAUUAUACAGGGGCAGGGGCUCAAGUUUUUUCCAGUCGUUUAUACAAUAUGGAAAUUAAUGUGAAAUUAAAAAACAAAGUAUUAAUAGAAAGGUAAUGACUGUCCUGUGUAGGUGACAGUGAUAUCCAAUAGGCUAGGCACUCACGAGGCUGGCUGUGGCAAGUGUAAGUGAAAGCAACACGCACUGGCAGGAAGAACAGCAAACGCCGAUGAAGGAAAAGGGUCUUUGCAGUGAUGGGCGUUACCAGAGAGGGCGAUGGCCAGAGGACACAAAUGGGACGGGGAGGCAGCAUGUUGGGGGGGGGGGGGGAUAUGCGACACGGCUCGGGCCCGCCAGUGCCCCAACGGGGUCCUAGUUUCUUCUUUUUCCUCCCCUUUGAACUGGAAAAUGGCCCACUUCCCACUGGCGAAAACUCAUGAAAUUUGGCAGGAUGACCGGGCCUGGUGAAAAAUUUGAUAUUCCGAAGUCGCCCAAACAAGAAAAUGCAAAAUGGCUCCAUAGCGCCCCCUAAGGUGAAAAUUCACACUAUUGACUGUCACGCCUCUACGCUUUGUCAAAAUGACACAAAAAUUGACACACAUAUGUAUCUCAAUAAGAUCUACAAAAAAGUCAGUGCGGGCGUAUCUGUCAAAUGUACGGUUAAAGGGUUAUUCCGCAUUUUUUGCCGAUCCGCACACAUUGGAAUUUCGCUAACUCCUCCGAAGGCUUUCUUUCCACCGGCACCACAUUUGCUCAGGCCAAUCUACACCCCAUGGCCAUUAAAAGUUAUUCAAAUCAUGACGCUGCACCCCACGGUUUAGGUUCUAGGGGGCGCCAAAGAUAACCCUAAAAUCCACAUAUUUAAAAGUCUUAUAACUUUUUAUUUUUGCCCUCACUGGCCUCCAAGUUUUCUAGGAUGAUGCAAUGUCCAGCCAUCAACACAUUUGUGAAGGAAUUUUUACUCCCCAAAAGAGCGCCCCCCCAUGGCAGGAGAAAAAAGUCAAUUUUUUCUUGUCCCCUAAGGUGAAAAUACACAUUGUUGAGUGUCACGCCUGUACGCUUUGUCAUAUUGACACAAAAUUUGACACACACAUGUAUCUCAAUAAGAUCUACGAAAAAGUCAAUGCGCGCGUAUCUGUCAAAUGUACGGUUAAAGGGUUAUUCCGCAUUUUUUGCUGAUCCGCACACAUUGGAAUUUCGCUAACUCCUCCUAAGGCUGGCGUUCCACCGGCACCACAUUUGCUCAGGCCAAUCUACACCCCAUGGCCAUUAAAAGUUAUUCAAAUCAUGACGCUGCACCCCACGGUUUAGGUUCUAGGGGGCGCCAAAGAUAACCCUAAAAUCCACAUAUUUCAAAGUCUUAUAACUUUUUAUUUUUGUCCUCACUGGCCUCCAAGUUUUCUAGGAUGAUGCAAUGUCCAGCCAUCAACACAUUUGUGAAGGAAUUUUUACUCCUCAAAAGAGCGCCCCCCCAUGGCAGGAGAAAAAAGUCAAUUUUUUCUUGUCCCGUAAGGUGAAAAUUCACAUUGUUGAGUGUGACACCUGUACGCUUUGUCAUAUUGACACAAAAUUUGACAAUCACGUGUAUCUCAAUAAGAUCUACGAAAAAGUCAAUGGGUGCGUAUCUGUCAAAUGUACGGUUAGAGGGCGAUUUUGCAUUUUUUGCCGAUUCGCACACAUUGGAAUGUGGCUAACUCCUCCUAAGGCUUUCGUCCCACUGAAACCAAAUUUGCUCAGGCCAAUCUACACCCCAUGGCCAUUCAAAGUUGUAAAAAUCAUGACGCUGCACCCCACGGUUUACGUUCUAGGGGGCGCCAAAGAUGACCAAAAAAUCCACAUUCUUAAAAGAAUCCACAUUCUCCCCCCCCAUGGCAGGAGAAAAAGUAUCUGUCAAAUGUACGGUUAAAGGGUUAUUUCACAUAGGAAUGUGGUUAACUCCUCCUAAAGCUUUUGUCCCAUCGGCUUCAAAUUUGCUCAGGUCAAUCUACACCCCAUGGCCAUUCAAAGUUGUACAAAUCAUGACGCUGCACCCCACGGUUUACGUUCUAGGGGGUGCCAAAGAGGACCCAAAUAUCCACAUUUUUAAAAGUCAUAACUUUUUAUUUUUGUCCUCACUGGCCUCCAAGUUUUCUAGGAUGAUGCAAUGUCCAGCCAUCAACACAUUUGUGAAGGAAUUUUUUCUCCCCAAAAGAGCGCCCCCCCAUGGCAGGAGAAAAAGUCCAGUUUUUCCUGCCCAUCGCUCAAUGGCUCAAACGCAUCGCUCUCUCGGCAAAACCGAAAGGAGGAGCAACUUGCCAUUUGGAUAUAUACUAGCUGUGUUUGUGCCCUCACUCAUGGUCCAGACUUUUUUCAAAAAGGACAUGGAGUUUGUCUGCAGCGAGCGUUUUGGUAGAAACUGCGCCUCCCAUUCAUUAUAAUGGUAAAUGACCACAGACAAGUGCGCACACCAUCUUUGGACCUUGAGUGUGACGCGAUCGGGAGGGGUAGGCGGUCGCGCUGGGGGUGGCGCGACACGGCUCGGGCCCGCCAGUGCCCCAACAGGGCCCUAGUUUCUUCUUUUUCCUCCCCUUUGAACUGGAAAAUGGCCCACUUCCCACUGGCGAAAACUCAUGAAAUUUGGCAGGACGACCGGGCCUGGUGAAAAAUUCGAUAUUCUGAAGUCGCCCAAACAAUAAAAUGCAAAAUGGCUCCAUAGCGCCCCCUAAGGUGGAAAUUCACACUAUUGACUGUCACGCCUGUACGCUUUGUCAUAUUGACACAAAAAUUGACACACAUAUGUAUCUCAAUAAGAUCUACAAAAAAGUCAGUGCGGCCGUAUCUGUCAAAUGUACGGUUAAAGGGUUAUUUCGCAUUUUUUGCCGAUCCGCACACAUUGGAAUUUCGCUAACUCCUCCGAAGGCUUUCGUUCCACCGGCACCACAUUUGCUCAGGCCAAUCUACACCCCGUGGCCAUUAAAAGUUAUCAAAAUCAUGACGCUGCACCCCAAGGUUUAGGUUCUAGGGGGCGCCAAAGAUAACACUUAAAUCCACAUAUUUAAAAGUCUUAUAACUUUUUAUUUUUGUCCUCACUGGCCUCCAAGUUUUCUAGGAUGAUGCAAUGUCCAGCCAUCAACACAUUUGUGAAGGAAUUUUUACUCCCCAAAAGAGCGCCCCCCCAUGGCAGGAGAAAAAAGUCCAUUUUUUCUUGUCCCCUAAGGUGAAAAAAAACAUUGUUGAGUGUCACGCCUAUACGCUUUGUCAAAAUGACACAAAAAUUGACACACACAUGUAACUCAAUAAGAUCUACGAAAAAGUCAAUGCGCGCGUAUCUGUCAAAUGUACGGUUAAAGGGUUAUUCCGCAUUUUUUGCCGAUCCGCACACAUUGGAAUGUGGCUAACUCCUCCUAAGGCUUUCGUUCCACCGGCACCACAUUUGCUCAGGACAAUCUACACCCCAUGGCCAUUAAAAGUUAUUCAAAUCAUGACGCUGCACCCCACGGUUUAGGUUCUAGGGGGCGCCAAAGAUAACCCUAAAAUCCACAUAUUUCAAAGUCUUAUAACUUUUUAUUUUUGUCCUCACUGGCCUCCAAGUUUUCUAGGAUGAUGCAAUGUCCAGCCAUCAACACAUUUGUGAAGGAAUUUUUACUCCCCAAAAGAGCGCCCCCCCAUGGCAGGAGAAAAAAGUCAAUUUUUUCUUGUCCCCUAAGGUGAAAAUACAUAUUGUUGAGAUUCACGCCUAUACGCUUUGUCAUAUUGACACAAAAUUUGACAAUCACGUGCCUUGCCUGGUAUCAUUUUUUUCAGCACAACCUCACCUGUGCGAAUUUACAGUUAUUUUAUCAUGUUGACAUACUGAAUUUACACAAUGGACCCAAAUUCACACACAAAACAUAAAAUCCGAGUGGAAAAAAGUAACAUUUUUACUGUGAAAACCACAAAUAUGUGUGAUGAACUGUUUUUAAAACUUAAACUUCAAAUAAAAAUUGUAAACUUCAAAACAUAUGCAAAUUUUUAACAAAGAACAUAGUGAUUUACCUCUAUUUUCAUCAAAAUGCAGGCAAUGGCCCAGGCGUUCUUUGUAAAAUUAUUUACAAAACACUGUAUAGUCUCACAAAUGUCACUUUUUAUUUAUGCCACUACAAAAAAACAUGAUGUAAAUGAUGCAUGAUGUAAAACAUGAUGUAAAAAACUUGUGUAGAUCCUCCUCUAUGUCAGUCCAUGUGUAAUUUUUCCAUAAUUCUUUGUUUUUUGCAGCAUUUUUGUUAGUGUAACUGCAGAUUGUGCUGACAGUGUCUAUGGCACAAAAAAAAAUAAAAUUAAAAUGCCUCAACAUGAACCCCUGGUGGUCUCUGAGGGUGAAACCUGCUAACUGCUGCAGCUCUGUCAGCUUCAGUCUCCCAUGCAGAGCUCUGAGCGCAUGUGUGGCUCUGCACCCUUAGCAGCGUUGCUAACUCCUCAGUAAGGAAAGCCUGCUUCAUGUCAGAGUCUCUAAACUCCAGAAGAAGUCGAUAAAAGUCCCUUUCUUUCUAAAAAAAAGUCGUUAGGGGGUCUGAAAAGUCAUUGAAUCUAACAACAAAGUCGCUAGGUUUGCAACUACGUGUCCCAGACUGCAUCCCUGCUGAGAGUCCCUCCCUCCCUUCUCAUGUUGCAGGAAGAACGUAAGCGCCCGCCCCUUGUCAAUCAGUCACCAUAUAAUUUUGGAUUGGUUGUUGUGGUGAAGUUUUCCACCAAUAGGAGAGAUGUUGUGGUGUGUUUUUUUUUUCUUUUGGCAAGCCUUUUCCGCCUGUAAGACCUGUCGCUAAUGUCUGCAUGCUAUGUUUUCCUGUCUCAUACAGCGCGAUCGAGCGCCGAACGUGAUCAAAAUAAGCAGAAAAAAAGUAUCGCGGACAUAAUUUAUCAUAACUCUGGUUUUAUUUGGCCUAUCAACACAUUUUAAAAACUGGUAUAUAGGUUGAGGUCUUCACUUUUGAGAUAAGUUGAAACGGAGAGUCAACGAGGCUCCGUCUUGCAGCUACAUCCGGUUAAAUAUGUCAUGUGACUUGAACGCACACACAGACACACACACACGCACACACACACACACACACACACACACACACACACACACACUCAGAGUCUGGUUUUUAGCACCUGCAAAAACAUGCUAUUUACAUAUUUGACAAGAAUGCAGAGGCUCCUUUUGCCCCUGAAAAAAAUCAAAUUUCAAACACAACUUGACUGGUCAUUUCUCCAAAAGACAACCAUGAAGCUCCAUCCAAACCUGAAGCAGGCAGUUGGUGCAUGUGUACAGUAACCUGAGGGGAGUGAGGUGAGUGCUUCUGAGGAGAACAUGAGCAGUGAAGAUUCACCUUGGAGCUAGAACAGAGACAUGCACAUGAUUAUACAGGGGCAGGGGCUCAAGUUUUUUCCAGUCGUUUAUACAAUAUGGAAAUUAAUGUGAAAUUAAAACACAAAGUAUUAAUAGAAAGGUAAUGACUGUCCUGUGUAGGUGACAGUGAUAUCGAAUAGGCUAGGCACUCACGAGGCUGGCUGUGGCAAGUGUAAGUGAAAGCAACACGCACUGGCAGGAAGAACAGCAAACGCCGAUGAAGGAAAAGGGUCUUUGCAGUGAUGGGCGUUACCAGAGAGGGCGAUGGCCAGAGGACACAAAUGGGACGGGGAGGCAGCGCGUUGGGGGGGGGGACACGGCUCGGGCCCGCCAGUGCCCCAACGGGGUCCUAGUUAGGGCCCGAGCGUAGCUGCUAAGCAGCUGCGAGAGCCCUCUUGUUCCUGUAGUUUCCUUCUUUUUAGGGCCCGAGCGUAGCUGCUAAGCAGCUGCGAGAGCCCUAUUAUUCCCCAAGGGGUUUUUCUUUGUUUCUUUUUUCUUUUUCCUCCCCUUUGAACUGGAAAAUGGCCCACUUCCCACUGGCGAAAACUCAUGAAAUUUGGCAGGACGACCGGGCCUGGUGAAAAAUUUGAUAUUCCGAAGUCGCCCAAACAAGAAAAUGCAAAAUGGCUCCAUAGCGCCCCCUAAGGUGAAAAUUCACACUAUUGAGUGUCACGCCUGUACGCUUUGUCAAAAUGACACAAAAUUUGACACACACAUGUAUCUCAAUAAGAUCUACAAAAAAGUCAGUGCGGGCGUAUCUGUCAAAUGUACGGUUAAAGGGUUAUUUCGCAUUUUUUGCCGAUCCGCACACAUUGGAAUUUCGCUAACUCCUCCGAAGGCUUUCGUUCCACCGGCACCACAUUUGCUCAGGCCAAUCUACACCCCAUGGCCAUUAAAAGUUAUUCAAAUUAUGACGCUGCACCCCACGGUUUAGGUUCUAGGGGGCGCCAAAGAUAACCCUAAAAUCCACAUAUUUAAAAGUCUUAUAACUUUUUAUUUUUGCCCUCACUGGCCUCCAAGUUUUCUAGGAUGAUGCAAUGUCCAGCCAUCAACACAUUUGUGAAGGAAUUUUUACUCCCCAAAAGAGCGCCCCCCCAUGGCAGGAGAAAAAAGUCCAUUUUUUCUUGUCCCCUAAGGUGAAAAUACACAUUGUUGAGUGUCACGCCUGUACGCUUUGUCAAAA